rnacentral:lncRNA from 1 species
CAGCUCGACGAUCGCGGGGUGCCCGAGCAGAGUCACGGCCACCGUGAACCGCUGCGGCGCCUCCCCGUCGUUGCCCACCAAGAACGCCGCGCACCCCUUGGUCAUACGCGCCGCCUUGCCGUCGCUGGACGAUGCGUGGAGGAGGUGAACGCGAUCUGCUUCUUGGCCCUGCUUCGCCUUUCCGGCCUUCAUGGUGGCGUUGUUACUAUCGCUCUCCCCCUAGGAACUUGGUAAGUGGAUUGCUAGGAGGAGCUGGCUUUAUAUAGUGGUUUGGAGAGGAACUUCCGAUUGCAGAGGCGUGUUCGGAGCCUGGGAGACGGACUGAAACAGACUCGGUUUGGGGAUUAUACAAGAUUACCUCCGUGUUAAAUGAGAAGUCCCUUUGAUUCAAAAGCUUAUUGGAUCUGCAUCCCAAAGCCCCACGGUGGAGAGAUAUGUGUCGGAUUAUUACUAGAUAUUGCAAACAUAUUUCAGUCAUUUAAUACUAUCAGUUACUUCCUCCGUUCAAAAAUAUUUGUCACAAAAAUAAAAAUAAAAAUAUAUAUUUAAAAAUAAAAUGCGUCUAAAAACAUCCAUAUCUCUCACAAAUAUUUUCAGAUGGGAUUUUUAAGGGAAUAAGUACGAUAAAAAAUCUAUUUCGUCCUGAUUAUUUUAGGUUGGUUUUUUGUUUUGUGCCGUAUCGGUUGAGAUUAUCUAAAAAAUCUAUAGUAAGACAAGUAAGGUUGAGAACGGCGGGGGCAAUCUAUGUGGUCGGUGCUCUGCACCAUGGUGGAGCGGCGGAUGUGAUCUCAACACAGAUGUGGAGGCACAAACCCAACAUAUCCAAUGUGUAGUUUGUCGAGGCGGCGUUGGGCGGGGAUCCUCGAUGGCCGCGGUGGUCGGCGGGCUCGAGAGGUCCGUGUCGUGAGGUGCGGGAGACGUCGCCACUCGUGAAGGGUUCGGAUUCUGGUGCCUCUCGUGCUCUUGGGCGAGGCAUGUCGGAGGGUGCACGGACAACGACGGCGCCGCCGACGCUCUCGACGGCAAACUUUCCCCUGCUCGUUGUCGGACUCGGGCCGACGGAGAUUCUGGUCGGACAGGAGGGGGGUGACGGGGCAUUGGGCCAGGCCAAUCCACUACAAGAAAUAUGUCAACUAAGGACCUUUUGUCAGUGACCCUAGAAGGAAUGGUCAUAAAUCUAUGACCAUUUGACAUCAUUUGGUCGUAAGCUGUGUGGAGGGGUCCUAGCCCCAAAAACCAACGACCAUUUUCAUCAGAAAGGUCAUCACUUGCUUACUGAAAAAGGUCAUAAAGCGGACAGCACCUGGCACUGCCUUACUUCUAGGUGAUAAUGAUCAAUAUGAAUGUUCGUUACUAAAUAGUUCUUUGAUCAUUAUUUAGUAACGACCAUUCAUAUUUACAGUAGGCUGGUUACGCAGCCACCUCAGCAGCCUGGCAUUAUAUAGUGGUUUGGAGAGGAACUUCUUCCGAUUGCAGAGCCGUGUUUGGAGCCUAGGAGACGAACUGAAACAGACUCGGUUUGGGGAUUAAUACAAGACUAGCAAAUAUGCCCGUGCGAUGUAACGGGAAAAAACUAUUAGAUUAUAUAGGUGUGGUAGAUAUAACAAAGUAUGAUUUCAUAAACAUAAAAUAUGAUGCUCAUCGCGACUUGAUUUCUUAAGGCGCCACAACAUAAUAUUUUAUAGCUGAGCAAACUACAUUUACGAAUCCUGCCUGAGCUAUACUCAUGAAUGAUGUGCCUCAUCUUAACUUAGCGUAGCGGUGCUUACCAUAAUCAGUAUUCUUGUAUGAGAAUAAACAUAAUUGGUUACAAAACUAAUUCAUAAAAAUUUGUGUCAAUUUGGUUGGGGCUCAGCGUUGUACAAAACACGGAAACCUUUUUUUACCUAACGCGAGGGACUACAUAAAAUCAUAAAACGAUCUCCAGAGAUCUCGUAAUAAAACCUUUAUGUAAGCGACAAUUUGUUUUGUUCAUUAUUUACGGAUGUGUUUUUUUGAACAUUUUUUAAAAAUUGAUGGAGAUGUUUUUCAAAUUUCUGAAUAUGCUUUGCAUACCGGAUCAUUUUUAAAAAUCUUGAACAUUUCUUAUUUCAUGAAAAUUUAUUUGAAUUUGUGAUUUUUUUAUAAUGUGUGGGCAAUUUCUGAACUAAUGAACUUUCUAUGAUUUUCCGAAUAUUUUUCUGAAUUCACAAAUGGUUUAUCAUUUUUCUAUUUUUGCAAAUGUCGCAACUUUUUGAUAUGCAAGGGUCUAAAUAAAAACAUGAAAUAAUCUUUACAGAUCUCCUAAUAAAACCUUUACGUAAGCGACAAUUCAUUUUGUUCAUUAUUUAUGAAUGUAUAUUAAUUUUUGUGAAGAUUUUCUAAAAGAUGAUGGACAAGCUAUUCAAAUCCAUGAAUAUGUUUUGAUUACUGGAUAAUUUUAUAAAAAAUCAUGAUCAUUUAGUAUUUCAUAACAAUUUAUUUGAAAUCGUGAUUUGUUUUAUAAUAUGUGAGCAAUUUUCGAACUCAUGAAUAUUUUAUGACUUUCUAAAUAUUUUUUCGAAUACACAAACAGUUUUUGCUUUUCCCUAUAUUUUUUAUACUCAUAAUUUUUUGAUAUUUUGUUCUUUUGAAAUCUGGAAUUAACUUAGAGAAGAAAAAACAAAAAUGAAAUUAAAAAAACAAAACAAGGGUGCCCCGACCUCCACAUGGGCCGGCCCAUGCUUUAGAGAGGUAAAGAAAAAGAGAGAAAAACACAGGUGAGAACCAAGGAUCGAACCCUGGUCUCCCAUGUGGACACUUGAACCAAUAGCCAUUACGCUACUCGUCAACUGUUGCUUUGCUAAUGUAUCGGUGUCUAUAACAACAAAUAAAGGCGCUGAUUUCAAAAAUCUAAAAAACGGACUUUUUUUUACCUACGAGUGGCAUUGGUGGGUAAAUUUUAACCAACUUCGGGGGUAAUUUAAAUGACGGACGACCAGAAACUGUAUUUGCUUUAUUAUUAGGGAGAGAUUACCGAUGGACUGAAACAUACUCCGUUUGGGGAUUAUACAAGAUUACCUCCGUGUUAAAUGAGAAGUCCCUUUGGUUCAAAAGCUUAUUGGAUCCGCAUCCCAAAGCCCCACGGUGGAGAGAUAUGUGUCGGAUUAUUACUAGAUAUUGCAAACAUAUUCCAGUCAUUUUAUACUAUCAAUCACUCCCUUCUUUCGAAAAUAUUUGUCACAAAAAUAAAAAUAAAGAUAUAAUUAGAAAUAAAAUGCGUCUAAAAACAUUCAUUUCUCUCACAAAUAUUUACAGAUGGGAUUUUUAAGGAAAUAAGUAGGACAAAAAAUCUAUUUGAUAAUGAUUAUUUUAGGUUGGUUUUUGUUUUGUGCCGUAUCGGUUGAGAUUAUCUAAAAAAUCAAUAGUAAGACAAGUAAGGUUGAGAACAGCGGGAUCUAUGUGGUUUGUACUCUACAUCAUGGUGGAGCGGCGGAUGUGAUCUCGACACAUAUGCGGAGGCGCAAACCCAACAGAUCGAAUGUGUUCUGUGUCGAGCGGCGUCGGGCGGGGAUCCUCGAUGGUCGCCGUGGUCGACGGGCUCGAGAGGUCGGUGCCGUGAGGUGCGGGAGACGACGCCACUGGUGAAGGGUUCGGAUUCUGGUGCCUCUCGUGCUCUUCGGCGAGGCAUGUCGGAGGGUGCGCGGACGACGAGGGCGCCGCGGACGCUCUUGACGGCAAACUUUCCCCUGCUCGUUCUCGGACUCGGUACGGCGCAGAUUCGGGUCGGAGAGGAGGGGGAUGACGGGGCGUUGGGCCAGAACGAUCUCGCGGGCUCGAUCUUUGGUCAUGGGCCGACAUUCAUGUUCAGUUUUUCCGACGUGGUGGCCAGGCCGGUGUCUUUGGACGGGCCGUUGCCCGUUCUUCGGCCCUCUGGAUUGGCCCAGCCCAACAUGGCCCUCCUAAUCCGGGAACAUUUAAGAGCUAGUGGUGGGUGCGAAAAGCGAUCAGUAUCUUCUGCUAGGUUUUCCCGCAGCGCCCCGAGACGGGCAUCUCCAACAGUGGCCGUAAAAAACGUGUGUGUGUGGGGGGGGGGAAUGCAUUUUAGCGCGCGCGGAGCGGUUACAUCCGCUCCAGCGGGCGCGGAAGAUCCCAGCGCACGGGAAAAGUUUGUGCGCGGGGGAGAAAGCGACCCGGCGCGCGUUAGAUUUGGCGCGCACUAUAAAUCCAGCACCUCUUCCAGGCGUCCUUCCACCGCUCCCACGCGCCCCUCGCCUCGCCACGCGCCCUUUGGCGCUCUCUCUCUCGCCUUGCCGCCGCCGUGUCACCAUGCCGCCACGCUGCCUACGAACUUCGGGCUACCGCGGCGUCUGCGCGCGCACCUGCAACAUCUUUUAUGCCGAGAUCCACUCCGGUGACAUGCGCCUCGGGCUCGGCACGUUCAACACCGUCGACGAGGCUGCCCGCGCGUACGACGCGGCUGCGUGGCGCCUCAACUAGCCUCGUAGGGACAUGAAUCUCCCCACGCGGGAGUGGGUGCAGCGGCUCGCGCCUCCCCCUCGGGUUGUCACCGAAGUGGAUCGUCGCUAGAACCGGAGGCGGGAGCGCCGCCUCGGCAUCAUUGAGAUGGACGAACAAGCCAUGGUGGAGUGGUGCCAAUAGUUCCCGUAGGUCAUCCUCGACGAGCGCGCAUUCUUCACGCAAAGGAGGGCGGAGAGAAGGGCGGAGCAAGCCGCCUAUCGUGAGGACAUGCGUACGCAGAAGCAUGCCACACUCUUCAACAUGUUGUUGCUGGAUCGGGAGGGCAUGCUGCUUCCUCGCUGGCGAGGAGGUAAAGAAGUGCCAGGACGACGGCAGGGUGGCGGCAAUGGAGGGGGGUGGGGAUGGGUUUGCCGGUGGAGAUGCAGCUGCAUCAAUGACGCUGGAGCAUAGAGCCAGCCAAGGUCGCGGCCAUGCGGCAAGAGGUUGGCGUCGAGCCGGCCAAGAUCGCGGCCCUGCGGCAGGAGGUCAACGUCGAGCCGCAGGCAAAGCUGCAGGCGUCGAGCUACAAACAAAGAUGUGGGUGCGGCGAGGCAGGAGCCAGGGGCGGCUGAAGGUGCGAGCGUGAUGGGCAGGAGUCGCGAGCGUCUAGAGGUGUGGGCGGGACGGGCAUGAGUCGUCGGCGGCUGGAGGUGCGGGCGCGACAGGCAUGAGUCGUCGUCGGCUAUGCUGCUACAGUGGGGCCCUCGAGGUUGUGCCGCUACGACGGAGGGGUGGCUACGGUUGAGGUUUGGAGGGGUGGCCACAUUUGUCCCUUUUCACCUUGUCGAAGAUUUACUCUAACGAGAAAUAAUACGCAACAGAGGGAGUACAACGAGGCCCAUAACUAGAGAACCCACGAGACAUCACAACGGGGAUUGCCUAACAAAAAAUGAACAUCCCAGACCAAAGGAACUAUUGAAUUGUGAAAGCAAAGAGAGACAAAUGAAGAGUUCAAAUGAUUCACUAGUCCAUUGCAAUGUGGGACACCCACUUAUAUACAAGAUGUAGGGGUUUGUUGGGGAGACACCUUUCCCCAACAGCCACCUUGUCAGAGGCAUCCCUCCCAUACAAUUGAUNNNNNNNNNNNNNNNNNNNNNNNNNNNNNNNNNNNNNNNNNNNNNNNNNNNNNNNNNNNNNNNNNNNNNNNNNNNNNNNNNNNNNNNNNNNNNNNNNNNNNNNNNNNNNNNNNNNNNNNNNNNNNNNNNNNNNNNNNNNNNNNNNNNNNNNNNNNNNNNNNNNNNGAUCACAUGUUUUAUUUCUCAACACUCCCUCUUGAUCAAUUCGUCAUGUGUAUAUUGCAAACUGAAAACUCCUACAAAAAAACCAUGUGGGAAAAAUUGAGGAGAAACCUUAUAAUAUUAUGCCAUCGAAAACAACUUUAAAAACCCAGUGGGAAAAAUAUAAGUAGAAACAAAUAUUGCAUACAUCCGCACUUGUAUUUUUAUUGUCUCGUUAAAAACAUUAAAAGAGAAACGAUCUUGGAAAACUCAUAAAGGAAAAAAAAAGUAUAAUAUGAAUGAUCAAAAGAUCACCAACUAGUUAUAACCUUGGAUCUUAUUCCCCCUGAACUUUGCAAACAUCAAUCUUUUCUCAUACCGAUUCCACGAACCUCAUUCUGGAAUAUAAACGUAGGUAGAGACAUUGUGAAUCUGACAAUAAUUUGUUUGCAUAUUAUCCUCUUACAUUUCUGUAAUUUGCGAGGAUAAAUAUAACCCAUAAGAAAUGCAAGUGAAAUUAUCUUUUUUUUGAGUGUAAGAGAGUAGGAUAAAAUCCUACUGCAUGUAUAUAUAAAGCCAAUAGUUACACAUGUACAUGAUGGGGAGGGGGUGGAAUGGGGAUGGGGGGAGGGGGGNNNNNNNNNNNNNNNNNNNNNNNNNNNNNNNNNNNNNNNNNNNNNNNNGGAGGGGGGAGGUGGGCAGGGUGGGGUUACAUAUUAUGUGGUAUCAGCUAGGGUGGCCACAAUGUUAUCUAUGUUUUGCACCUUGCUAGUAGGCAGACGGUUUCUAAGAUUGGAGAAGUCUAGUACAAACCGACGUCGCCAAGCCCCAGGAGAUGGGGUUAUUUGCUCAAAGCACUUGUUAUUUAUUUCCUUCCAUAGACUCCAGGCUUCCACCAGAAAAAUAUCCAUGAACAUGUCCCUGGGGUGUGCUGUCCUCUGAUGCUGUAGUUUCUCUAGUCUAUGUUGUUGUUCUGACCAUUUGAUGUUGAGCAUAUUCCAACAGCGUUGGCUAAAGCUGCAUUCAAAGAAGAGAUGUUCCAGUGUUUCCUCCAUGUGUUUCCAAUAGAUGCAGUCCAGAGUAGCCCCUAUGUUGUAAUGUCUCCGUUUGAGCAUAUUCCUCGUGUUGAGCCUGUCCAUCAGCAAAAACCAUCCAAAUACCUUGAUCUUUGGGACAUACUUUGUUUUCCACAGCCAGUGAAACGUUGGAUGCACCGUAGUCUCUUUGAAAUAGAAACGUCGAUAUGCUGUCGUUUUGAAGGUGCCAGCCCCCCAAGAACACACCCAGUCAUCUCCCCUAGGAUUUAGCUGCAUUAUCUUCGUAGAUAAUGAUAAUUGAUUCCAAUGAAUCUUCACAUGAUCUCACAUGUGACCAGUCAUUCUGCAAAGACAUGUAUAUCUUGUCAUGCUUCAAAGUAGUUAUGGGAGAAUGAUCUUAGUAAGGACCCAUUUAGAGUCUAUUCUGAAGGCUUCCCAUAGAAUACUCUUCCAUUAAAUCCAGCUUUGAUAUGGCAUUGUUGGGAUCAGAUUAUCGGCCACUAUCAUGAUGUCACAUCAUGUUCCCAUCUUGAUUUUCUCAAAGGAAUUAAUCAAGACCUUUUGUGUCUUGGACAUAUCUCAAGAUAUUCCUUACACCAACCAUUAUACCUUUUAUUGGGGAUGCACUCUCAAUAAAUUGCCAACAAAUAUAGUGUCAGGCCUCACUUACUUUGCAAUUUAUAUGAGUGCUCCAAUGUUACUCAGAUAUGGAACUUCAUGUCCAUUAUCACUUUACCAUCUCCCCUAGGUUUGAAUGGGCUUGUGUCCCAUGCCAGGUAUAAUUUGAACAUAUGUGUCUUUGAUAAGGUAUAUCCUGUGACAGCCCGAGACCGACGCUCCAGAAGAUUCCCCUUUCAUUCCACUGUCGUCGGGUUAAUUAUUGUUUGUUGCAUUCAUCAUCGCAUCAUGAGCAUCAUCUACAUUCAAUCGGCACUCCGUUGCCGCCAGUUUUCAAACCUUGCAUCCGUUAUUAGUUGUCGGUUUUCUUCAUUUUUGUCAUUGACCAUUUUGAGACCAACCACACACGCACGCGCCCGCGACAUCGAUAAAAUGUUGUUUUUAAAAGUGUCAGGAAAAUAUUCUCGGAUUGGGUUGAAACUUAGCGUGCGGUCUUGUUUUAGUGUAGUUAGGCUGCCUACCAAAUUUCGUCGCAAUCGGAGUGCGUUUGAUACCCGAACGGUCGACCGUAGCAGCACCGUCUUCGGUUUACCGUUGGACAUUUUUCGGUGUUUAAAAAAUAGUUGACGUGCUGCCAAUCUCUCCUCUAUUCCCCACCUAGCCUCUCUAACACAUCCCGCUAGACCACCUAAGCUAACCCUAACCCCCUCCGCAUCCGGAGCCGUUGGAUCACGAUCCAACGGUCCGAAAACGGAGUAAAUCCCCUAACCCUAGCCCGUUUUGUCUAUAAAUAGACCCCUAGCCUCGAAACCCUAGCCGCCGCCCUCGUUUUCCGUGCCGCACCACAGCCCCACUGCCACUUGGCAUCGCCAACGCCCCAGCCACCACCUCCUCUCUCCUCAGCCGCCAGGGGGCCGCUAGGCCCGUCCGAGGCCCGCUCGGGCCCGAGCCGUCGUUGCUCGCUCACGCACCCCACGCCUCCAUGGGGCCCGCGCGCAUCUGCCUCGCCGGAGCCCCAUGCGACUGCGUGCGCUGCUCAUUGCUUCCCUACCGCCGGUUGUCGAACCCUCGACGAGCCGGCCACUCCUGCCCGUGUCUCCCUUCCUCUCGUGCCUCCUCAGCUCUCUCUAUCCCUGUCCCCUAACCUCUCUCUCCCUAUUGCAACCAGGGAGCUCGAACUCGCGGAACAUGGGGUGCGUUCGCUUGCUUCCGCCAUCGGGAACGGGUUCCCUGGGCCCCGAUCCACAUGGACCUAGUCGAGCCCUCGCCGCUGCCGUCUGCCGGAGUUCGUUGCGAGGAGCUGCCAUGGCCGCUGCCCGUGUUGUUCGUGCGGGAGGAUGGAGGCGAGCCGCCCCGUUGACCGGCCUCGCCAGCACGUGGGCCCCGAGUUGACCAAGCUGGCCAGCUCCUCGAGGCCUAGGCCAGCGCCCCGGCCGGCCCAACCCCGCGCGGCCUCCCUCGACCCAGCUUGACGGCCCCAAGCCGGCCAACCUAGUCCGCUCCAGUCGGUCCAGUCUUUUGGCCCGAGGUAAGCCCCUAUUCCGUGCCCUAUGGGUUUUAUUUUAAUGUUGUGCUUGCCCCUGUUAGUCCCGUUAAGCUCUAGAUCAGGCCUGUAAUUGUUUUUUUAUUAUUCCGGCGAAUUUAUUAAUUUCAGAAAAAGAGCAUAUUUUCAAAUGCCCGUAUCUUUUAAUCCGUGCGUCGGAUCGCGACGAGUUAUAUAUGCAACUUGGCUAGAAUUUCGUAUAUAUUAAUAUUUUCCAACUCUCAUGCAUAUUUAGAGCUGUUAGCUAUCCAGUUUGCAUCGGUUUGCGUGUCGACGCGAUAGAAACGGUUUAGGUCGUAGUUAAUUAACCGUAGCUCCGUUGGAGAUGAGCCAUAUAUGUAAAUGGACCAGAACGACGAGUAGAAUCACGGGAACCACUUUGUUUUUCUGUUUAGCAAACAUAAAAUAUGAUUAGGACAAAUCUGGACAGAUUUGGAAGUUAGCGUGUGGGGCAUUUCAGAUAUGUUAUAUGUCGUUUCCGGCCUCAUUUAAAAUGCCUAGAUAGGUAGAUCAUUUGUGCUUCACCCCUUUCCAUUCUUAACAACAUUUAAUAUUAUCGUUUACCUAUACAAGAGCGAAAUAAAUAAUUCGUAUAUGGAGUUUCGUCAAUAUGCAACUCGUUUCAUGUUGAGCUUCACUUAAUGUGUAUCGUUUGACUGUGUGAAUUGCCAUGCCAUGCCUUGCAUAUAUGAACAGUCCAUGCAUCAUAGGUGUUGUGCACCGUGUCGUGCUUGUGCCAUGGUGAAUAUUGUGUGUUGAUUCUUUUUUCCGGUUUGCUUCGUCUCGAUAGAGUUCCGCAAGCGUGUCGGAGUGUGAAGAUCUGUUCGACUACGUCGGUUCAUCUGCUUCACGGAGUCGUUCUUCUUCUCAGCGAGAUCUCAUGCAAGAUGAUCAUUUCCCCAGAUAUCAUUACUAUCAUUGUCGUUAUAGUUGUUUUGUUUCUACCAUUAUGUCUCGCUGUCUACCACUUGUUAAAUAUCAGCCCCACAACAUUGCCAUGAAAACCUUCAACCUGUUCACAACCUAGCAAACCACUGUUUGUCUAUGUUACCGCUUGCUUAACCAUGUGUUAGUGUUGCUAGUUGUAGGUGCAGUUGCUUCCAUGUCCAAACAUGGGUUCCUUGUUAUAUCACCAUAUUAAUGCUAUUUAAUUUUAAUGCACCUAUAUACUUGGUAAAAUAUGGAAGGCUCGGCCUUUCUAGCUUGGUGUUUUGUUCCACCUUUUCCGCCCUUAGUUUCGUCUACCGGUAUUAUGUUCCAUAAAUGAGCGCUCCUAACAUGUUGGUGGUUGUUAUGGGGACCCCCUAGAUUAUUGUUUUGGGAUAAAGCUUGUCUGGCAAGGACCAACAUUGGUACUAUAUUUUCCCAACAUAAUAAUUCUGUUAAUACCGAAAAAUAUAGGGUGUCAUGAACCCGAGGAGUAAUUCCACAUAAUACAUGGAGGGCCAGUGCUGAUGGUUCUUGUCCAAAACAGAGCACUGUGCGGGGCGAACCUAGGACAACUUGGGUGGUUUCUAUGAGGCCACCGUACGCGUAGCUUAUCCCUCGUGUCCUGAGAACGAGAUACGCGGCUCCUAUAGGGAUCCUCGACACACCGGUCGGCCUUGCUGGACUUGUUUUACCUUUCUCAAGAGUCUUGUGCGAGGGAUUCCGAGGAUGCCUUGGGUUAUCUCGAGGUUGAGGUUUUCCAAAAGGAACCCGAGGAGAUCACGGGUUUUCCUGAUCGAGGUUAUUCUGUCGCAGCGUGUGGUAGUUUGUGAUGGACUAGUUGAGCACCCAUGCAGGGUUAAAUAUUUCAGAAAGCCAUACCCGCGGUUAUGUGGCAAUGCGGAAACUUUGUUUAACAUCCGGUUCUAUAUAACUUGAAGUAAGCUUAAUUAAAAUAUGCCAAAUGAUUGCGUAACUGUGACAGUCUCUUUCGUGAGCUCCUUCUCCGAUCGAGGACACGAUGGGGUUAUGCCUGACGUAAGUAGGUGUUCCGGAUCAUUCAUUUUAUCAUCAGUAGCUCACGUCCACUAUGCGUAGAACAUCCCCCUCUUUUAUUCCAGUACUCGUAAUUUAGCCACCUCAAAUAAAAGCUUAGUCGCUUGCUUCAGCCUCGCCACUUAACUAUACAUCACCCAUUAAGCUUUGCUAGUCUUGAUACCUUUGGAAAUGAGAUUGCUGAGUCCCCUGUGGCUCACAGGUUACUAAAACACCAGUUGUAGGUAUAGGUAAAAGGUUAUUUGACGCGAGCGUGCUAAUUGUGCUAUUUGGAGUUUCUUCUUCUUCAUCAUCGAUCUAGGAUCGGUUCGAGGGCGGCAGCCUGGGAUAGCAAGGAUGGACGUCGUUAUUUUAUCGUUUGUUUUCGUCCGUAGUUGGACUCUGCUCUUCUUCUUGAUGAUUAUAUGUAUUGUAUUGAUGUGACUCUGAUGUAGCUUGUGGCGAGUGUAAGCCAACUCCUUAUACUCAUCUUUUCAAUACAUGUACUGGUAAAAAUAUCAAUUCUUGCGAAACAAUGAGAUGCAUUUCUAUCCUUGUUGUAACACUAUGGAUUUUGCCCAUUUCUUUUUCCCUCGAUUUUGGUCUGGUUUUGAUUUUCUGUGGCUUGAUAGUUUUGAAACCUAAAGAGAUUACCCUUGAUUUAUUUUUCUUGGUGGCUUUCCAACCUUCAAACCACCCCAAGACCUAGCCAUUUCCAUCUUGAGCCAAUCCCAAUAUUCUUUUCCCUCGGAAUAUACCUUUUUCUUUUAAAAGGAAUAACCUUUAUUGCCUUAGGUUAUGAAGCAACCCCCAUUUCCAUCUCUUCAAAAAUUCCCAAAUAGUUCUCAUAAAUUACUUGGGUCAUAUCUUCCUGAGAUAUGAAAAAAAUCUUUCCUUGUCAUGUUCAAAAAUAUUCCCCAAAAAUUCCUUUUCUGAUUCUCCCCUAUGUGUCAAGUUGUGAAGAAAGUACCCUUUUUAUUUACUUGAUUGAUCUAACAAUUUGUGGACACUCUUGCCUAGCCAUAUCAUUGCCUCAUGCCAAAAUUCAACUCAAUUUAGCUAGUAAAUAUUUCUUGGCAAAUUUCCAAAGUUUCUGAUCCACAGGAAGCUUUGUCAAGUAAGUGCUAGCUAGGAGUGUUUAAAUGAAUUGAAACUUUGCCAUCAUCUCAAUAUGCUCAAAUUAUGCCUCUCCACCAAAUUUGAGGAUCACUCCUUCAACCAUGUGACCAUAGCUUCAAAUCUUUAUCUUUGGUCAUUAUUUUGGAUUCUGAAGCAACUAUAUUUUAUGUUGCUCCAUGAAUUCUGAAAUUUUACCACGACAUUUUCCUAUCUAUAAAACCUAUCUAAACCAAUUUUGAGCUCAUUGUAUUUAGGGAAAAUAUUAUCAUCCAAGUGCCACCCAAUAGUCCGUUGGAUCUUGCCUCGAUCACGAACAAUUUUCUGAAACUAGCUCGUUGUUUCAGAAACUAGGCCACCGUCCUCCAGUUCUCCACCUCCUUCGCACAGCCGGAUCUCCACCUUCUCCGCCGCCGGAGAGGUCGUCCACCAGAUCUGCUCGAUGGCGUUCCGCCGACUCCUCUCGGCCGCAGUGCACCGCGGCUGCGGCGGACGCCGGCAACCUCGUCAUGGACAACAUCCCGAAGUACCUCACCACGGCGGAGCUCCCCUAUGGCAUGACCUACUUCAGGUACCCCACCGACAGCUCGGCUGCGACGCCGGCCGGCCAUCCGGCCGCCGCCAACCGCCCAUGCCGCCCAUGAACGUUCCAAAAAAUUUCCGCAACUUGACUUUUGUUUGCAAAAAUUCCUGAAACAUGACCUUUGUUGCAAAACAUUCUUCCGCAAAAGUACCUAUGUAGCAGAAAGGCAAAGAAAAAAAAAUCUGCAACAAGCAAAUUGUUUUUGAAACUCGACCGUUGUUUCAGGAAUUAACGGAUGCAAAGUUUAUUUCUUGCAACAAAGCGAAAGUUUCUGCAACUCAGCCAUCGUUUCAGGAAUUAUGAGGUGCGUGGCCGGAGCGGAUCGGACGGCUACGCGUAGAUCGGACGGCUCUCCAAGUAACGGAUGUUUAUUAAACAUCCGCCGGUGGAUGCGUAGCAGGCCCCUUUUAUUUAGCCAAUUAUUCGCAGUAACUCUGCUAAGUUUCUGUCCAGUGGGAUACUGUGUGAAGGAAGUGCCACUUUGGCUUAUCAAGAUGGUAUGAAAUUUAUACAGCAUCCUCACAUGCCUAAAUGAUUUAUCGCCUCCAAGUUUCAGCUCCAUCCAAGCAACUGUGUGAGUGCCACUUCAUAUUUUGUAAGUUUGUCCAGAAAAUCCCUUUGAACUCCAAGUGCAGUUUUUAUUCUUCCAAAUGAGCUGAAAAUUUGCAGAGAUGAUCACCUUAGUAUGUAAUCACCCUCAGCCAAAAACCAGAUCCUUUCCCUAGCUAGAUCUCCCCCAUGCCACUCCAAACAGGUUGCUGUUGAAUCAUAUUUGAGCAUUUUGCUUCCUCCACAGAUCCCUCUAGUGGAUUCUUCCCUUGCAUCUUAUCCAUUUGAGUAGUGUGUGAUUUGUCUGACAUGGAGUGAGGAGCAGGGGCACACCAGAGCACGUAGUGCACGUGGUGACCACGCUUAGAGCAAGCCAAAAUGGUGCUCUGUGCAUUGACGGAGACAAGAGCACCCUCCAGCAAGCUUCGGCUUGUCCACGAGCAUCUGGGAGCUCUCUACCACUCGUGUGCGUCCUCCAGAGCUUUCCACCCUCGUCCCGUAGCUCCUGGCUGCCUCUGUCGAUCACCGGUGGGCCGCCACAGCGACAUUCAUCUUGAAGCCUCGGCCGUCGUCGUGCAGCUCCACCCCGUGCCUAUUUAAGACGUGCCGCGAGCCCUCCUCCAACCUGCAGCCCUCAUCCCGCUCCUCCCUGAGUACCACAGCCCCUCCCCAUCUACCAUUGCCGCCAGGGCCACCUCAGCCCUCCGCUCGAAUUCGAGCAAUAGGGUAGCCCCCUCCCCUCCUAGCCUCUAUGAGAACCUCCCCUCAUCCCCAAAAAGGUCUCCGCCGCCCUCCCUCUCGGACGGGAAGCCCCGCUGGCAUACCCACGAGAUUUACUCCAGCUAGGGAAACCGAGCCAUGGCGGCAGUGGCGCACGCCGCGCUGGGCGCCACUUCGGCCUCCUCCUAGCGCGGCAUGGAGCGACGGUGCUGCCGCGCUCGCCGGCCUGCCCUGUGGUGCGGUCAGGCGCCAGCAGCCACUAGCGCCCGAAGCCUCCCCUGUCCCCUUCACGAGGUUGAAUACGACGCCAGGAGGAGAGAGAGAGAGACGCAGUCGGCCCCGCGGGUCAGCGGCCCAGGAGCUGACUAGGCAGCCGUUGACCCGAGUAAGUGGAGGCGCCUUUUUGGUAAAACACACUUUCUUCUUAUGAAAGCAUAUUCUAUUGUUCUUCGGGCAAAAAUACGCUUUCACUUCUCUGAAAGUGUAUUCUCUCAAAAGUGCUUUCUGCCUAAUCCACUCAGGGACCCGUAUGUGAAUAUUUGUUUUGCAGAAUAGUCCCUGGCUCCAAAACCCUUAUAUCUUUUUGCUCGGGACUCCGAUUCCGGUGAUUCCAAAGCUCACAUCUUCGUCUCGUCGAGCCCGAAAAGAUGUUAUCAUUGCCACCAUGUGAUCACACAGUGGAAAUGACCAUGUUGCCCUUGCCGUAAAUAGCCCUUCUCCGAGAGAGAACUGUUUCCGACAAUUCCUUCCGCGAGCUUCUCGUCCUUCUUCCCGGUGGUUCCCUCAUCCCAGGAAAGCCACAAUUUUCAUUUGCUUAAUUGCAUUGCAAUAUCAUAGUCUAAUUAAUUAUUUUAAUAAUGUGAGUAUGCACUGUUGAAUAAAUUAUUACUGAGAUGAGUACGGGAUCUUUAGUGACUAGUGUCUUACACACUAGUCAAUAACAUAAGGUUGAGAUUAUUGUCUAUGAUUACUUUGUGUAUAUGGAUCAACAGUAGUGGCUUGAGCUUAUUAUUUACCAGAUUACUGUGACGCCGGAGCAUCAACUAUAAUAGACAUAUUAUUCGGGAUAAGAUACCUAGUUGGUUGAUCAGAGUCACCUGUCCGGGCUUAUCAGUGCAACCACAUUUGCCGAUAUGGGACGACCUUCACUUGAGCUGAUCGCGUGAUCUUUCACUCGUACCUCCAAAGAGGGAGGGUUAUGCACGCGUGCUACCUUGGCCCGGUAGGCGGUGAUAACCCUGUGAGCCAGUUGAGUUGUUUGGGGUACCCGUCCCCGUUUGGGACAGUUUUGUUUGGCCAUGACGGUGGGAGGUGUCAUGAGGACACAGGGCCACCCAGGGCAGGACUCCGAGGGACGAUGAUUGUCGGUGGUAUGAUGAAAGAGUCACGGGUCAGGCAAGUUUCGCUGGAGCAACACUCGUCCACCCGAAUGGGAUCACGAGGUCAAUGCUCCAUAGUGUGGAUAAAGUGUGCAACCUCUGCAGAGUGUCAAACCUAUUCAAAUAGCCGAGUCCACGGUAUUGGACAGCCCGACCAGACCUCAGUAGGUGGUCAACCGUAAUUAUGAUAUUAAUGAUGGAAGAACUUGUCUGAGUAUGAUAACAGUUGGGCAUCGUGCUGAUGGUAAGUCUUGGUAUCCGUCUUGAGGAUACUCGCUAAAGGAUCUUGGUAAGAUCACAUGAGUUGGUAUCACCCGAGUACGGUGAGAGUAGCCUGGUAUAGUUAGUUCUCUGCUACUCCUUUAGUAAUAACACAUCUUUUCUUAAUCUUGAUUGCUAUGAUGUUGUCUUGCCUUAAUGCUAAUGUUUGUUGUGAGCUUGCGAGUACAUUCAAAGUACUCACCUGGCUUGUCAUGCCAGAUUGCAGGUCAUGCCUUGAUUGCUUGCUUGUCGAGGAUUCCGAAUCGCGAGCUAGGAUGCGCAUUCCAGCCAGAGUCCCUCCAGAGUGUAGUUCAUCACAUCGGUCGUUGUUCCGCUGCUAGCAUAGGAUUUACCGUAGGCAGGUGUAGUAUAGCCAAGGCGAUGUAAUCCAUGUAUCAUUGUAAUUUUUUCCAUAGUAGUAAAGAGCUGAUUUGUUCUGUGCCAAUAGUUCCGUAUUCCAGAAGACUUGUCCUUGAGCUUGAAUAUGGGGUGUUCCAGUUUCUUCUGAGCUGGGGUGCCACAAGAGUUGGUAUCAGAGCAGGUUUUGUUGUAGGACAACCUACACCGCGCGAGCGUUAGUAAUUGGUAGUAUAGGAUCCAGAUGGUUUGCUGCACUUGUUUGUUGCAUUUGAUUCCACAUAGCAUGCAUAUAGACUAGAUAUGUUAUUACUAACGAUGGAUCUGGUGAGUAUAUGUGCCAUCGGUUUCGAUUCACCACAUGCACUCUCCAGCCUGCUUUCUUCUUCCUUGGUGUUGUGUCACCUUCGCUUUAGCGAGGUGAUGCCAAGGUGCUUGGUAAUGUCGACCCCUUGUUGGAUUGAUGCACCGGUACCACACCAAUGCAUUCUCUCCAGCCGCCCUGUUGUUUCGAUAGACAUGCUUCUAUCCCGGAUCUUGCCCAUCCCUCUAGCCGCAUUGGCAACCCUUACUGUUCUUGCUUAUCAGAAAAUGGCAAUGCCCACAAGCCCUUCUUUCAUAGUUAUCCUUCCCUGCCAUUCGUUCUCUAGACAAGUACGGUUCUCUUCCGUACGCUUGAUGAUGACGUGGUCGAGACCCUGUGUUCCGACCCACGAUCACCAAGUUCGGCCUUGCCACCGUGUCUGUCCAGACGGAACCGGUGUAAGCCCCUGUUUGGUGUAGCUUUGUUUACAUCAACCCCCUUCCACACAUUGAUUCACCUUCGUGCACACCGCCACAGCAUGUUAGACCGUAGUACCGGAAUUCUGGCGAGAUUUUUGUGCUUAAGUAGGAAUGCAUAUCAUGGUUGUGAAUAGCGGUAGAAUAUGUGCUCUUACUGGUAUGUGAUUUUGCUGCUUUGUGUGUUUGUCAUUUGCUUAUUUCUUUGGGCCCUUGGUGCUACCUUAUUUUCCCGUUAUGGAAGUUGCUCACCGACAUUGGACUCAAAGAAUUUGUGAAGAGACAGUUAUUUGGAAGCUCGGUUCAGCAAGAUGGAACUUUCAGGAGACUGCAAUAUAUUAGGAAUAUCGAGCCCGAAUAUAAAUGGUAUCCUGACCAGAAGAAUUAUCAGCAUCAAGUAUACAUCCGUGCAACUUUUUCAGCAGCAAUCAUGGAAUCAACAAAAAGGAAGAGAUGCGUACAUUUCGGGCCAAAGGUAUGAUUCAUAUACGCAGUUGAGUCUGUUGUGAGCAUAAUUUGAAAUCUGCUAUACUAUGGAAGGAAGUCAGAAUGAGCUAUGAACUUAGUGUUUAGCAAAAAGGAUAGCUGAAUACCACGUUGCAUACCGCAAGUAACCAACAGCAGGAACAUUAAUGACAUAUACAUGCAUUUAGCUCGCAGAUGACGCUUCAAGAAUAAGCAACCCAGUCUUUCCCCGCAAGCUACCCGAAAAGCUUAUGGCACAAGAUUCAGGUGAAUUACUCAAUGUGACACACGGAUCUUUGUUCAAGACACCCAUGCUUCUCCAGUAAGACAUCACAACAAGCUUCUGGCAUAAGGUACCGAGUCUUACCCAGCAAGUCUUCAAGGAAGGAAAGCACUUGAGAUAUGGUACCCAAUCUUCUUCAAGAAGCCAUCCCAAUCGAAACAUCGAGCACAAGCUACCCAGUCUUCCUAGACACGAUACUCUGGAUGACUUACAACACAAGCUAAGUAAACCUUUGUUGGAAAGGCAUCGCAUUCUCACUGGUACAUGUUAUUCUACUAACAGUUGGCAACAUAUUACCAUACAAGGAUCAGAUCCGCAACAGCUGGUCAGAAGGCAAAAUAGUCAGCCAAGGCACAAGCCUACAUCAGGAAUCAAGCACUCCGCCACAUAGACCCAAUAUAUAUGGUGGACAUGUUACCAAAGUCACAAGAGUUGAUCAUACAACGAUGUCAGCCCAAUAAGAAAUCCGACUAUCGCAUGGGCUACGUGAGAAGAAGAACACCAGCUAUACACUUCAGUGAGAUGACCAACAACCCAUGGAUAAGCUGUAUGGGACACAGAUGAACCCUUGCCUAUUUUUCUUAGAUGAUGGCACCACGCAUGUGUUCUGAGCUGUUUUCGGCCGUUCGGGGUGGAUGCCGACUUUUAUUUCUCUUGUCAGCAACUGGCCCAUGUUCUGAGCUACUUUUCGGCCCUCUCAGACAGUUGUUGAAUUUCUUUUCGUAGUAGCGACCCUAUGCUUUGAGCUGUUUCUCGGCCGUCUUAGGGAACUACUACUUUCUUCUUAUCGACACCGUCUCAUGCUUUGAGCUGCUUUUCGGCCGUCGUGAGUUGGGUUGAGUUACUCCAGUAAUGUCCCAGAUCUGAGUUGUAAAGACCGCUCUAGUGGCUACUGGUUUAUUUGUCGGUUUUAUCCAAGGGUUUAGAAGGUCGUUACCCUAUGGCUACAACUUGUUAAGUAAUAUUCUUACCGGAAUAUGGUACCUGGCAGCACCCAUGGUCAUCCGAAGGAAUAAAGAAUACAUGAGACCUAGCUCUUCCGGCUAAGGAUCCAGGCAAACAGAAAGAGCAAGAUUGCCCAUACAGGUACGAUAAUGGUUGCAAGAUCAACAUAGUGCAUAUAAUCAAAACAGUUUAGUUCAAUACCAAUCACCAUGGGAACACACCCAUGAGGUCUAUUCCAUUUGCAAGGACAUAAUAUCAAGCCAAUCCACUCGGCCCAACCAGAUAUGCUCAGCAUUGUUAGAAGAAGAUACUCAAAUCUAUGAAGAUUACUCAGCAGUUAGAUUGCAACAGCAGUGUCAAAAGAUUACACGGCCCAUUAUCCAUUUAAAGGUGUCGACAGAUGGAACGACGAGAAUGUGGGACAACAACCUCGAAGCUUGUGUCCUCACAUAUGGGAAUCAAUCAAAAGAUAGUUCAUCGUGAACAAGAUCUCUCUGCUAGAACCUCCGACAGUCAAGUCAGCAUAUAUAAACAGAUGAAAGUUAGAGUAACAUAUGAGGAUCCAGUGGAAUAAACCACCAUGAAGCCAGACAGUUAAUCGGCUAAGAUUUACCAGAAAUAUCAUUCUAAGGUAAGAAGGAAACCCGAGUUGGAAACGGCUUCCUCAAGUAAGGAUAUUUAUGUUUUACCUUGAGAAAUCAAAUCUCGAGGACGAGAUUUCUUUAAGGGGGUAGGUUUGUAACACCAUGGAUUUUACCCAUUUCUUUUUCCCUCGAUUUUGGUCUCGUUUUGCUUUUCCGUGGCUUGAUAGUUUUGAAACCUAAAGAGAUUACCCUUGAUUUCUUUUCCUUAGUGGCUUGCCAACCUUCAAACCACCCCAAGACCUAGCCAUUUCCAUCUUGAGCCAAUCCCAAUAUUCUUUUCCCUGGGAAAAUUCAUUUUUCUUUUAAAAGGAAUAACCUCUGUUGCCUUAGGUUGUGAAGCAACCCCCAUUUCUAUGUCUUCAAAAAUUUCCAAAUAAUUCUCAUAAAUCUCUUGGGUCAUAUCUUCAUCAGAUAUGACAAAAUAUUUCCUUGCCAUGUUCAAAAAUAUUCCCCAAAAAUUCCUUUUCUUAUUCUUCCCUAUCGGUCAAGUUGUGAAGCAAGUACCCUUUUUAUUUGCUGGAUUGCUCUCAAAAUUUGUGGGCACUCUUUCCUAGCCAUAUCAUUGCCUCAUGCCAAAAUUCAACUCAAUUUAGCUAGUAAAUAUUUCUUGGCAAAUUUCCAAAGCUUCUGAUCCAGAGGAAGCUUUGUGUAGCAAGUGCUAGCUAGGAGUGUUUAAAUGAAUUGAAACUUUUCCAUCACCUCAAUAUGCUCAAAUCAUGCCUCUCCACCAAAUUUGAGCAUCACUACUUCAAGCAUGUGACCAUAGCUUCAAAUCUUUGUCCCUGGUCAUUAUUUUGGAUUAUGAAGCAACUAUAUUUUAUGUUGCUUCAUAAAUUCUGAAAUUUUACCACCACAUUCUCCUAUCUGUAAAACCUUUCUAAACCAAAUUUGAGCUUAUUUUAUUUUGCAAAUCAUUCCCAGUAAUUCUCCUAAGUUUCUAUCCAGUGGGAUACUGUAUGAAGGAAGUGCCACUUUGGCUUAUCAAGAUGGCAUGAAAUUUAUACAGCAUCCUCACAUGCCUAAAUUAUUUAUCUCCUCCAAGUUUCAGCUCCAUCCAAGCAAGUGUGUGAGUGCCACUUCAUAUUUUGUAAUUCUGUCCAGAAAAGCCCUUUGAACUGCAAGUGCAGUUUUUAUUCUUCCAAAUGAGCUGAAAAUUUGCAGAGAUGAUCACCUUAGUAUGUAAUCACCCUCAGCAAAAAACCAAAUCCUUUUCCCUAGCUAGAUCUCCCCCACCCCACUCCAAACAGGUUGUUGUUGAAUCAUAUUUGAGCAUUUUUCUUCCUUCCUAGAGACCUCUAGUGGAUUCUUCCCUUGCAUCUUGUCCAUUUGAGCAGUGAGUGAUUUGUCUAACAUGGAGUGAGGAGCAGUGGCACACUAGAGCACGUAGUGCACAUGGUGACCAUGCUUAGAGCAAGCCAAAAUGACGCUCUGUGCAUUGACGGAGACAGGAGCACCCUCCAGCAAGCUUCGGCUUGUCCACGAGAUUCGGGGAGCUCUCUACCACUCGCUUGCGUCCUCUAGAGCUUCCCCCUCGCCCCGUAGCUCCUGGUUGCCUCUGUCGAUCACCGGAGGGCCGCCACGGUGACAUUCAUCUCGAAGCCUCGACCGUCGUCGUGCAGCUCCUCCCCGUGCCUAUUUAAGGCGUGCCCUGAGCCCUCCUCCAACCUGCAGCCCUCAUCCCGCUCCUCCCCGAGUCCCAGAGCCCCUCCCCAUCUUCCAUUGCCGCCAGGGCCACCUCGGCCCUCUGCUCGAAUUCGAGCAUUACGGUAGCCCCCUCCCAUCCUAGUCUCCAUGAGAACCUCCCCUCAUCCCCAAAAAGUUCUCCGCCGCCCUGCCUCUCUGACGGGAAGCCCCGCUAGCAUGCCCAUGAGAUUUACUUUGGCCAGGGCACCCGAGCCAUGGCAGCGGCGUCGCACGGCACCCUGGGCGCCCCUUCGGCCUCCUCCUAGCGCGUCAUGGAGCGGUGGUGCUGUCGCGCUCCCCGGCCCGCCCUUUGGUGUAGUCCGGCGCCAGCAGCCAGCAGCGCCCGAAGCCUCCCCUGUCCCCUUCACGAGGUUGAAGACGACGCCAGGAGGAGAGAGAGAGACACACGGAGGGGCCCAUGGGUCAGCGGCCGGGGAGCUGACCAUGCAGUCGUUGACCCAAGUAAGUGGAGGCGCCUUUUUGGUAAAAACACGUUUUAUUCUUAUGAAAGCGUAUUCUAUUGUUCUUCGGGAAAAAAUAUGCUUUCACUUCUCUCAAAGCGUAUUCUCUCAAAAGUGCUUUCUGCCUAAUCCACUCAGGGACCCGUAUGUAUAUAUUUGUUUUGCAGAAUAGUCCCUGGCUCCAAAACCCUUAUAUCUUUUUGCUCGGGACAACGAUUCCGGUGAUUCCAACGCCAACAUCUUCGUCUGGUCCAGCCCGACAAGAUGGUAUCAUUUCCACCAUGUGAUCACAUAGUGGAAAUGACCGUGUUGUUCUUGCCGUAAACAGCCCUUCUCCGAGAGAGAACUAUUUCCGGCAAUUCCUUCCGUGAGCUUCUCGCCCUUCUUCCCGGUGUUUCCCUCAUCCCAGGCAAGCCAGAACUUUCAUUUGCUUAAUUGCAUUGCAAUAUCAUAGUCUAAUUAACUAUUUUAAUAAUAAAUAUAUAUGUUUAUAGUCUGGAAUGUGAGUAUGCACUGUUGAAUAAAUUAUUACUGAGAUGAGUACGGGAUCGUUAGUGACUAGUGUCUUACACACUAGUCGAUAACAUGAGGUUGAAAUUACUGUCUAUGAUUACUUUGUGUAUAUGGAUCAACAAUAGUGGCUUGAGCUUAUUAUUUACCAGAUUACUGUGACGUAAGAGCGUCAGCUAUAACAGACAUAUUAUUCGGGAUAAGAUACCUAGUUGGUUGAUCAGAGUCACCAGUCCGGAAUCAUCAGUGCAACCACAUUUGCCGAAUGGGACGACCUUGACUUGAGCUGAUCGCGUGAUCUUUCACCGGUACCUCCAAAGAGGCGGUGAUAACCCUGUGAGCCAGUUGAGUUGUUUGGGGUACCCGUCCCCGUUUGGGGCAGUUUUGUUUGGCCACGACGGUGGCAGGUGUCAUGAGGACACAGGCCACCCAGUGCAGGACUCCGAGGGGGGAUGAUUGCCGGUGGUACAAUGAAGGAGUCACGGGUCAGGCAAGUUUCGUUGGAGCAACACUGGUCCACCAGAAUGGGAUCAUGAGGUCAGUGCUCCAUAGUGUGGGUAAAGUGUGCAACCUCUGCAGAGUGUCAAACCUAUUCGAAUAGCCGAGUCCACGGUAUUGGACAACCCGACCAGACCUCAGUAGGUGGUCAACCAUAAUUAUGAUAUUAAUGAUGCAAGAACUCGUCUGAGUAUGAAAACAGUUGGGCAUCAUGUUGAUGAUAAGUCUUGGUAUCCGUCUUGAGGAUACUUGCUAAAGGAUCUUGGUAAGAUCACAUGAGUUGGUAUCACCCGAGUACGGUGAGAGUAGCCUGGUAUAGUUAGUUCUCUGCUACUCCUUUAGUAAUAACACAUCUUUUCUUAAUCUUGAUUUCUAUGAUGUUGUCUUGCCUUAAUGCUAAUGUUUGUUGUGAGCAUGCGAGUACAUUCAAAGUACUCACCUGGCUUGUCAUGCCAGAUUGCAGGUCAUGCCUUGAUUGCUUGCUUGUCGAGGAUUCUGAAUCGCGAGCUAGGAUGCGUGUUCCAGCCAGUGUCCCUGCAGAGUGGAGUUCAUCACAUCGGUCGUUGUUCUGCUGCUAGCGUAGGAUUUACCGUAGGCAGGUUGAGUAUCACCAAGGCGAAGUAAUCCAUGUAUUCUUGUAAUAUUUUCCAUAGUAAUAAAGAGCUGAUUUGUUCUGUGCCAACAGUUCCGUAUUCCAGAAGACUUGUCCUUGGGCUGGAAUAUGGGGUGUUCCGGUUUCCUCUGAGCCGGGGUGCCACAAGCGUUGGUAUCAGAGCAGGUCUACCUGUAGGACGCCCUGGACUGCGUGAGCGUUAGUAAUGGGUAGUAUAGGAUCCAGAUGGACUGCCGCACUUGUUUGUUGCAUUUGAUUGCGCAUACCAUGCAUAUAGACUAGAUAUGUUAUUACUAACGAUGGGUCUGGUGAGUGUUAUAGACUAGGCAUUGGAUCGGUGAUGGAUGAUUAUGCCGCAUGUUAUUCAUCAUGCAACAGUUAUAACAUGGAGAGAUAUGUAACCAGCUCCAGUUCAUCAAUGUAAUGUAAGCAUGUAUUCCGUAUGUAGUCAUACGUGCUUAGGGAAAGGAACUUGCAUGACAUCUAUUGUCCAUCCCUCCCGUGGCAGCGGGGUCCUAAUAGAAAAUAUGGGAUAUUAAGGUUCUCCUUUUAAUAAAGAACCGGACCAACGCAUUAACACUUGGUGAAUACAUGAACUCCUCAUACUAUGGUCAUCUCCGGGAGUGGUUUCGGUUAUUGUCACUCCGGGGUUGCCGGGUCAUAACACAUAGUAGGUGACUACAACUUGCAAGAUAGGAUCAAGAACACACAUAUAUUGGCGACAACAUAAUAGGUUCAGAUCUGAAAUCAUGGCACUCNNNNNNNNNNNNNNNNNNNNNNNNNNNNNNNNNNNNNNNNNNNNNNNNNNNNNNNNNNNNNNNNNNNNNNNNNNNNNNNNNNNNNNNNNNNNNNNNNNNNNNNNNNNNNNNNNNNNNNNNNNNNNNNNNNNNNNNNNNNNNNNNNNNNNNNNNNNNNNNNNNNNNNNNNNNNNNNNNNNNNNNNAGUGACAAGCAUUAAGCAUGGCAAAGUAGUAGCAACAUCAAUCUCAGAACAUAGUGGAUACUAGGGAUCAAUCCCCGUCAAAACUAACUCGAUUACAUGACAGAUCUCAUCCAACCCAUCACCGUCCAACAAGCCUACGAUGAGAUUACUCACGAACGGUGAAGGGCAUCAUGGAAUUGGCGAUGAAGGAAGGUUGGUGAUGACGAUGGCGAUGAUCUCCCCUCUCCGGAGCCCAGAAUGGACUCCAGAUCUGCCCUCGAGAGGAAGAACAGGAGGUGGCGGCGCCUCCAUAUCGUAAAACGUGAUGAACUCUUCUCCUUGAUUCUUUUCCGGACAAAGGGGACUAAAUAGUGUUGAGAUUGGAGGUGGUGGAGCUUCGUGGGCCCCACAAGCCUGCCAGGCGCGGCCAGGGGGGCCCGUGCCUGGUGGGCUUGUGGGCUCUCAGCUCCUCCCCUCCGGUUGAUUCUUGGGCCAAUAUUUUUUAUAUAUUCGACAAAAAAUCCCCGUAAAUUUCCAGGUCAUUUCGAGAACUUUUUUUGUGUGCAAAAACAACAGCAUGGCUAUUCUGCUGAAAACACCGUUAGUCCGGGUUAGUUCCAUUCAAAUCAUGCAAAUUAGAGUCCAAAACAAGGGCAAAAGAGUUUGUAAAAGUAGAUACGACAGAGACGUAUCAACUCCCCCAAGCUUAAAACCCUGCUUGUCCUGAAGCAAUUCAGUUGAAAAACUGAAAGAGACAAAAGAAAAACUUUUACGAACUCUGUUUGAUCUUGUUGUUACAACUAUGUCUAACUCAUAUCCAGAAUUUCAGCAAGAUCACAAGCUAACCACAUAAGCAAAUGACAUCUAGGUCUCACGGUAAACUCAUAUCAAUGGCAUAAUCAACUAGCGAGCAAUAAUAAUAAGUUUCAAACAUCAACACUUCAAUCAAAACAAUCAUGAAGCAGUACGAAUAGAUGGUAUCUCGCUAGCUCUUUCUGAGACCGCAAAACAUAAAUGCAGAGCACCUUCAAAGACCAAGGGCUCACUAAACAUUGUAAUUCAUGGCAAAGAAGAUCCAGUCACAGUCAUACUCAAUCACAGUUAAAAGCAAAGCAUAAAAAUGACAGAGGUGCUCUCUAAUUGGUGCUUUUAUAAGAAGAAAAUGACUCAACAGGAACAUAAAUAGACAGGCCCUUCGCAGAGGGAAGCAUUGAUUUGCAGAGGUGCCAGAGCUCAAGCUUUUAAAACAGAGACAAUAAUUUUGGAUGGCAUGCUUUCAUUGUCAACGCAAUGACCAAGAGUUUUCACCAUCUUCCACGCUACACAUGCUACAGGCGGUUCCCAAACAGAAAAGUAAAGUUUUGACUCCCCCACCACCGAUCAAUCACACUCCAGGACUAGCCAAAUACUCGGGUGCCGCCCAUACCAACAACAAUCCAGGGGGAGUUUUGUUUGCAAUUAUAUUUUCAAUUUGAGCAUGGAACUGGGCAUUCCAAUUACCGGCCCUUUCUCGUGAAUGAUAGUGAAUAAACACAUAUCGAGGAUAACACGCCUAGCAUGGAAGAUAUUGAUAUUGAUAGCCCCCUGUCACCACGUGAGCGGCAUGCAAAAUAGAUUAUUUCUUGAAGGUUUAGAGAGUGGCACAUGCAAAUUUACUUGGAACGGCAGGUAGAUACCGCCUACAGGUAGGUAUGGUGGACUCAUAUGGAACAACUUUGGGUUUAUGGAAGUGGAUGCACAAGCAGUAUUCCCGCUUAGUACAAGUGAAGGCUAGCAAAAGACUGGGAAGCGACCAACUAGAGAGCGACAACAGUCAUCAAAAUGCAUUGAGAUUAACCAACAUUGAGUGCAAGCAUGAGUAGGACAUAAAUCACCAUGAACAUGAAUAUCAUAGAGGCUAUGUUGAUUUGUUUCAACUACAUGCGUAAACAUGCGCCAAGUCAAGCCACUUGAAUCAUUCAAAGGAGGAUACCAGCCUAUCAUACUACAUCAUAGUCAUCUCAAGAUUCAUGUUGGCAUCCAAGACAAACCAUUAUAAGCUCCUAGAUAAUUAAGCAUGGCAUGAGAAACUAUGAUCUCUAAGUUGUCAUUGCAAACAUGUUUCUCUCACAACAAAACUGAAUCUGGAACGAUGAGCUAGUCAUAUUUACAAAAACAAAAUAGAUCGAGUUCAUACCAGCUUUUCCACGCUCAGUCACUUCAUCACAUAUCGUCAUUAUUGCCUUUCACUUGCACGACCGAACGAUGUGAACAAUAAUAGGAGUGCUCGUGCAUUGGACUAAGUUGGAAUAUGCAAGCAAACACAAAGGAGAAGACAAAGUAAUAUGACUCUUUGAUAGAUAAACAGAUAAGCAUGCAAGAGCCACUAAACAUUGUAACGAUGGUCUUCUACCUUGACCCAAAGAAAAAGAAAACUAUUUACACGGGAAAGCUCCCAACAAGCAAAAGAAGAACAAGAAAAUCGUUUUGGGUUUUUCGCAAACUAGACAAACACACGAAAAGAAAACGAGAAAAGAAAAUAAACUAGCAUGGAUGAUACAGUGGCAAAGUGUGAACACCGACUAACAAAGUGAAAGCGUAAGCAAGAAUAUAAAGUCGGUGAGAAACACGUACUCCCCCAAGCUUAGGCUUUUGUCAUAAGUUGGUCUACUCCCAAGGAGGGAAAUAACCAACUCCGGGGUACUUCGGAGUGUACUCAGGGUGCCACUGCUGGGUGAGCUCCUCUGGCUCCCACUGAUAAACUGGCGUCUGGUACUCGACUGGUAGCUCAGGCACGGGCGUGUGUGGUUGGGCUAUGCCCCAAUAUGCGUAGAUGUCCGAGGGCAUAAUAAUGUACCUGCCUGUAUGAAGAUUGAACAAAGAAGGAGCAGGCAAGGUAAUAGUCUCACGAGUACCCUGACUAAAUGCCAGGUUAUAAAUCAUCCUUCUAUUUAUAUCUCUAUCAAGAAAGUCACGGCGAACCAUGCUAUCAUAAUCUAGAUAUCACUCGGGAAGAAGAAUCUCUUCUUCCUCGUCCAGUCUAAUGGGUAUCUCAAAAUGUCUAGAAAGAUGAGUAGCAUAGAUACCUCCAUAGACAACUGAUACGUCCAUUUUGCAUCAUGUUUUCAUGUUGAUAUUUAUCGCUUCUUGGGCUUUUAUUUCACUUCACGGUACAAUUCUUAUGCCUUUUCUCUCUUAUUUUGAAAGGUUUACAUGAAGAGGGAGAAUGCCGGCAACUGGAAUUCUGGCCUCAAAGUGGAGCAAAGUUGAGAUACCUAUUCUACGCGACUCCAAACACCGUAAAAAUCAACGAGGAUUUUUUUCCUGAUUUAUCAAAAAUACUGGGCUGAAGAAGUGCCAGAGGGGGGCGUGUAGGUGGCCACAAGCCUGCACGGCACGGCCACCCCCAGACCACACCAUGAGGGCUUGUGGGCAGCCUGCAGGCCCACUUGCCCCCUCUUUUUCUAUAUGAAGGGUUUCGUCCAGAAAAAAAAAAUCAGGGAUGAGCUUUUUCGUGGAUUCGCCGCCGCCACGAGGCGGAACUUGAGCAGAACCAAUCUAGAGCUCCGGCAGGACGAUCCUGUCGGGGAAACUUCCCUCCCGGAGGGGGAAAUCGUCGCCAUCGUCAUCACCAACACUCCUCUCAUCGAAGGGGACUCAUCACCAUCAACAUCUUCAUCAGCACCAUCUCAUCUCCAAACCCUAGUUCAUCACUUGUAACCAAUAUUCAUCUCGCGACUCCGAUUGGUACUUGUAAGGUUGCUAGUAGUGUUGAUUACUCUUUGUAGUUGAUGCUAGUUGGAUUAUUUGGUGGAAGAGUUUAUGUUCAGAUCCUUGAUGCUACUCAUUACCUCUCUGGUCAUGAAUAUGAUUAUGCUUUGUGAGUAGUUACUUUUGCUCGUGAGGACAUGGGAUAAGUCAUGCCAAUAGUAGUCAUGUCAAUUUGGUAUUCGUUCGAUAUUUCGAUGUGUUGUAUGUUGUUUUUCCUCUAGUGGUGUUACGUGAACGUCGAUUACAUAACACUUCACCAUUAUUUUGGCCUAGAGAAAGGCAUUGGGAAGUAGAAAGUAGAUGAUGGGUUGCUAGAGUGGCAGAAGCUUAAACCCUAGUUUAUGUGUUACUUCGUAAGGGGCUGAUUUGGAUCCACUAGUUUAAUGUUAUGGUUAGACUUUUUCUUAAUUUUUCUUUCGUAGUUGCGGAUGAUUGAGAGAGGGGCUAAUCAUAAGUGGGAUGCUUGUCCAAGUAAGGGCAGUACCCAAGCGUUGGUCCACCCACAUAUCAAACUAUCAAAGUAACGAACGCGAAUCAUAUGAACAUGAUGAAACUAGCAUGACAGAAAUUCCCGUGUGUCCUCGGGAGCGUUUUUCCUCCUAUAAGACUUUGUCCAGGCUUGUCCCUUGCUACAAAAGGGAUUGGGCCACUUUGCUGCACCGUUGCUACUUUUGUUACUUGUUGCUCGCUACGAAUCAUCUCACCAUACAAUCACUUGUUACCGACAAUUUCAGUGCUUGCAGAUAUUUCCUUGCUGAAAACCACUUGUCAGAUCCUUCUGCUCCUCGUUGGGUUCGACACUCUUACUUAUCGAAAGGACUACGAUUGAUCCCCUAUACUUGUGGGUCAUCAACAACGCCUUUAGAACGGUUCGUGUUCAACCAUUGAGCUACUAUGACGCCCAAGCUAUAAGUUUUAUCAUUAUAAAGGGCUUCGCGCAAAACCGCAAGAUCUGGAAGCUAAGGGAUCCAUCUUUCCUACGGCCAAUCAAACAUUUUCUCACGAAUAAUGAGAAGUACCGAAGCAUGGGAAAAUGUAUGCUAGCAGCUCUAGCGCAAGACACUCCUCUCUCCUCUACUACAGCAAUAGUAUCUAUGAAAGACUCCAAGUCCCAUGGACGAGGUUCCUGAAUAUCCCCAACAUAAGGUAAUUUGCAAACAUUGCAAAAAUCCUGAAGUGACAUGCGCUGGGGGAUAUCAAAUAACUUGAGCUCAACCAUAGGAGGAUUAAUCCUUGGAUAGAAGUUAAAGCUUUGCAUGAAAAUAUUAGUGAGGAGGAGGUAUUGCGGACACUUAUCUUCAACGAAGUUGGUAAGGCCUGGUUCUCCACCAAGUAGUAAAAGUCCUCAUAAAGUCCGGCGACGCAUAAGAACACAUCGCUUGGCCACUCGCACGUUCGAACUUCUGCAACUCGGGAGACCGAAUACUUGGGUUUCUUCUUCUCAUUCCCAUCAUCCUUGGGGUCACGUCUUGAAGAGCUUCUUAAGAACCUCCUCAUCUUUUCCCUUUUCUACCUCUGAAAAUUUGUGAAAUUUUUAGUGAUUCUAUGGAAAAGUGAACAAGGCCCAACAAAACUCGUAGCAACUACUCCCACAAGUGCCUAGAAGCCAUAUCACGCAUCAAAACUACUUAGGACCAGCUAAAAUUAACAUGCAAAGCUCAAGAGCAGGGUCACCAAGGCAGCAAAAAUAAGCGAAGUAUAAGGCACUAGAACAAAAACUAAUUGGACCAAUGGAGGAGUUACUUACCAAGGAGCAAUUUCCCCAAAACAGUUUGGUGAAUGGUGCUUUGCACAAGGAGAUCGAAAAUCCAAGCAAGAAGAGCAAGACACGGGUUUGAGCUGCGAAACAAUUUUUUCUAGAGGUAGGAGAAGUAGAUGGGAGCUAGAAUAAGUGGAGGGGGUGCACGUGGGCCCCACAAGCCUGGUAGGCACGACCAUGGGGGUGCUUGCGCCUCCAGGGCUUGUGGCCCACUGGUGCAGCCCCCUGACUAGCUCUUCGUCUCAGUAUUUUUCAAAAAUUCCAGAAAAAUCAUACUUGAUUUGCACGGCAUUCGGAGAACUUUUAUUUUCGGGGUACUUUUCUACGGGACGCUAAAAGCAGAAAACAUGGAAAACUAAACUAAAUCUAUCAUUUUUCUUCUAAGCAACCAAAGGUGAAAGCUUGGAACACAGGUUUGUGACUCCUCAAUUCAUCCAUCUCAUGGUCACCGAAAGAAAUCCGUCAAUGAGGUUAAUCAUGCCUCCUUGACAAACCUUUUCGAAUCGCAAAAGAAAACAGCGAAUUUUCGAAUAGUCAGUAGGUUACCUCAAUGGGGAUGUGCAUAUCCCCAAUAAGCAAAUCAUACUUCAUCUUGACAGUAGGUAUAAGGCAUUCAAAGCUCCCAAUAAGAAUCGAUGAAGUUUUUUCGAUAGCAUUGAUGUAAUGUACUCGACAUUGUUUCUUCGGAAAGUGCACCGUAUGCUCAUUAUCGUUGACAUGGAAAGUGACAUUGCCUUUGUUGCAAUCAAUAACAGCCUCUGCAGUGUUUAGAAAGGGUCUUCCAAGGAUGACCGCCAUGGCAUCAUCCUCGAGAAUAUCCAGGAUAACAAAGUCUAUUAAGAUAGUGACAUUAGCAACCACAAUAGGCACAUCCUCGCAAAUGCCGAUAGGGAAAGCAGUUGAUUUGUUGGCCAUUUGAAGAGAGAUUUCAGUGGGUGUCAACUUGUCCAAUUCAAGUCUACGAUAAAGAUAGAGAGGCAUAACACUAACACCGGCUCCAAGGUUGCAUAAAGCAGUUCUAACGUAGUUUCCUUUAAUGGAACAAGGUAUAGUGGGCACUCCGGGAUCACCUAGUUUCUUUGGAGUUCCACCCUUGAAAGUGUAAUUAGCGAGCAUGGUGGAAAUCUCAACCUCACAUAUCCUCCUCUUAUUAGUCACAAUAUCCUUCAUGUACUUAGCAUACGGAGACAUUUUGAGCAUAUCUGUCAAACACAUUUGCAGAAAGACAGGUCUAAUCAUUUCAACAAAUCUCUCAAAAUCCUCAUCAUCCUUUUUCUUGGAUGGUUUGGGAGGAAAGGGCAUGGGUUUCUGAACCCAUGGUUCCUUUUCUUUACCAUGCUUCCUAGCAGCGAAGUCAUUCUUAUUGUAUCUCUUAUUCUUAGGAUGUGGGUUAUCAAGAUCAACACUAGGUUCAAUCUCCACAUCCUUAUCAUUGCUAGGUUGAGCAUCAACAUGAACAUCACUAUCGAUAUUAUCAUUAGGCUGAUGUUCAUCACCAGAUUGCGUUUCGGCAUCAGAAACAGAGACAUCGUUUGGACUCUCAGGUGUAACAGCAACAGGGUUGCUAGCGUGCAAGUUCCUAUCAUCUUUCUUCUUCUUCCCAAGAUGACUACGUGCAUCAGUGCUAAAUCCUUGAGAAUCUUGUUCAAUUCUCUUAGGAUGACCCUCAGGAUACAAAGGUUCCUGGGUCAUUCUACCGCCUCUAGUGACGACUCUGAUAGAAUUGUCGUUCAUAUCAUUGAGCAAGUAAUUCUGAGCUUUAAGUACUUGUUCUACUUGAGUAGUAACCAUAGAGGCAUGUUUACUCAAGAACUUAAGAUCAUUGACGUUUCUGUCUACACAAGCACUUAAAUGACUAAGCAUACGAGCAUUCUGUUCCAAUUGUCUGCUAACAUAAUCAUUGAAACUUUGUUGUUUGGCAACAAAGUUAUCAAAUUCAUCCAGGAAUGAGCUAGCAGGUUUAUCAAAAGGAAUAUCACUCUUAUUGAAUCUACGAAGAGAAUUUACUUCUACUACCUGUAUCGGGUUAUCAAGACCAUGGAUCUCUUCGAUAGGUGGUAGAUUUUUGACAUCUUCAGAUUUAAUGCCUUUCUCUUUCAUAGAUUUCUUAGGGUGCAUAUCUUCAGGACUGAGGAAUAGAAUACCUCUUUUCUUAGGAGUUGGCUUCGGAGGUGGUUCGGGAAUAGUCCAAGAAUUCUCAUUGCACAAGAUAUUACUCAAUAGGAUCUCAGCUUGUUCUACAGUUCGUUCCCUAAAAACACAACCAGCACAACUAUCUAGGUGGUCCUUAGAAGCAUCGGUAAGUCCAUUAUAGAAGAUAUCAAGUAUUUCAUUAUUCUCAAGAGGGUGAUCAGGCAAAGCAUUCAGUAGCUGGACGAGCCUCCCCCAAGCUUGUGGGAGACUCUCUUCUUCAACUUGUGCAAAGUUGUAUAUUUCCUGCAAGGCAGCUUGCUUCUUAUGGGCAGGGAAAUAUUUCUCAGAGAAGUAGUAGAUCAUAUCCCUGGGGGCUACGCACACAACCAGGAGCAAGAGAAGUGAACCAAGUCUUAGCAUCAUCCUUUAGUGAGAAAGGAAACAACUUAAGGAUAUAGUAGUGGCGGAUCUUUUCCUCACUCGUGUCGUAUUUCAUCCUAGCGUUCAAAGAUAGGCGAAGUAGCAAACUUCGUGUCGUAUUUCAUCCUAGCGUUCAAAGAUUUUUCUUUCCACUUGCGCAGUAAUUUCUCAACAUCAUAGCUAUCCUUACAAGCAAGAAAGUCCUCAGCUAUCUCUCCCUCCAUAACAUAACCCUCAGGCAUAUCAAGCAAUUCAUAUCUAGGAGAGCUCGUUUUAACAUGCAAAAUAGCAGGUUCUACUUAAAUAGUAUUAGCAGAUUCAGAAGUAUCAUCACAUCUAGCAGCAACUCUAGCAAUUUGUGCAUCAAGGAAUGCACCUAGUGGCAAAGCAAUAUCGAGCAUAGCAUCAUCACAAGCAUCAUGGACAACAGAAGUAGUAUCAUCAAGCACAGGCGACAUAUCAAGAUUUCUAGCAGGAGGUGGUGUCGCAAACUUACUCAUAACUGAAGGUGAAUCAAGUGCGGAGCUAGAUGGCAGUUCCUUACCUGUCCUCGUAGUUGAGGGCAAGACUUUAGUUCUUGGAUCUUUCGGAUUCCUCAUAGUGAUCAGCAAACGUAAAUCCCAAGUGACUCAGAGAAUAGAGCUAUGCCUCCCCGACAACGGCGCCAGAAAAAGGUCUUGAUAACCCACAAGUAUAGGGGAUCGUAAUGGUUUUCGAGGGUAGAGUAUUCAACCCAAAUUUAUUGAUUCGACACAAGGGGAAGCCAAAGAAUAUUCUCAAGUAUUAGCAGUUGAGUUGUCAAUUCAACCACACCUGAAAGACUUAGUAUCUGCAUCAAAGUAUCACUAGCAAAGUAGUGUGAUAGCAACAGUAGCAAUAGUAACCAGUAGCAGCAAAGUGACAGUAGUAGCAGCAAAGUAACAACAGUAGCAACAGAAUAACAAUAACAUCACUAACAGCAGUAGCAGCAAAGUAACGUAGCAAGGACCAGUAGGAAAAACUCAUAGGCAUUGCAUCGGUGAUGGAUGAUUAUGCUGGAUGUUAUUCAUCAUGCAACAGUUAUAACAUGGAGAGAUAUGUAACUAGCUCCAGUUCGUCAAUGUAAUGUAGGCAUGUAUUCCGUAUGUAGUCAUACGUGCUUAGGGAAAAAAACUUGCAUGACAUCUAUUGUCCAUCCCUCCCGUGGCAGCGGGGUCCUAGUGGAAACUACGGGAUAUUAAGGAUAUCCUUUUAAUAAAGAACCGGACCAACACAUUAACACUUGGUGAAUACAUGAACUCCUCAUACUAUGGUCAUCUCCGGGAGUGGUUCCGGUUAUUGUCACUCCGGGGUUGCCGGGUCAUAACAAAUAGUAGGUGACUAGAACUUGCAAGAUAGGAUCAAGAACACAUAUAUUGGCGACAACAUAAUAGGUUCAGAUCUAAAAUCAUGGCACUCGUGCCCUAGUGACAAGCAUUAAGCAUGGCAAAGUAGUAGCAACAUCAAUCUCAGAACAUAGUGGAUACUAGGGAUCAAUCCCCGUCAAAACUAACUCGAUUACAUGAUAGAUCUCAUCCAACCCAUCACCGUCCAGCAAGCCUAUGAUGAGAUUACUCACGAACGGUGAAGAGCAUCAUGGAAUUGGCGAUGAAGGAAGGUUGGUGAUGACGAUGGCGACGAUCUCCCCUCUCUAGAGCCCCGAACGGACUCCAGAUCUGCCCUCCAGAGGAAGAACAGGAGGUGGCUGCGCCUCCGUAUCGUAAAACGCGAUGAACUCUUCUCCUUGAUUUUUUUUCGGACGAAAGGGACUAAAUAGAGUUGAGAUUGGAGGCGGUGGAGCUUCGUGGACCCCACAAGCCUGCCAGGCGUGGCCAGGGGGGCCCUGCCUGGUGGGCUCGUGGGCUCUCAGCUCCACCCCUCUGGUUGAUUCUUGCGCCAAUAUUUUUAUAUAUUUCACAAAAAAUGCCCGUAAAUUUCCAGGUCAUUCCGAGAACUUCUAUUUCUGCGCAAAAACAACACCAUGGCAAUUCUGCUGAAAACAACGUUAGUCCGGGUUAGUUCCAUUCAAAUCAUGCAAAUUAGAGUCCAAAACAAGGGCAAAAGAGUUUGGAAAAGUAGAUACGACGAAGACGUAUCAUCCGUCCAGACGGAACCGGUGUAAGCCCCUGUUUGGUGUAGUUUUGUUUACACCGACCCCCUUCCACACAUUGAUUCACCUUCGUGCACACCACCACAACAUGUUAGACCGUAGUACCAGAGUUAUUGCGAGAUUUUUGUGCUUAAGUAGGAAUGCAUAUCAUGGUUGUGAAUAGCGGUAGAAUGUCUGCUAUUACUGGUAUGUGAUUUUGCUGCUUUGUGUGUUUGUCAUUUGCUUAUUUCUUUGGGCCCUUGGUGUUACCUUAUUUUCCCGUUAUGGAAGUUGCUCGCCGACAUUGGACUCAAAGAAUCUGUGAAGAGACAGUUAUUUGAAGCUCAGUUCAGCAAGAUGGAAUUUUCAGUAGACUGCAUUAUAUCAGGAAUAUCGAGCCCGAAUAUAAAUGGUAUUCUGACCAGAAGAAUUAUCAGCAUCAAGUAUAUAUCCGUGCAACUUUUUCAGCAGCAAUCAUGGAAUCAACAAAAAGGAAGAGAUGCGUACAUUUCGGGCCAAAGGUAUGAUUCAUAUACGCAGUUGAGUCUGUUAUGAGCACAAUUUUAAAUCUCCUAUACUACGGAAGGAAGUCAGAAUGAGCUAUGGACUCAGUGUUCAGCAAAAAGGAUAGCCAAAUACCCUGUUGCAUACCGCAAGUAACCAACAACAGGAACGUUCAUGACAUAUACAUGCAUUUAGCUUGCAUAUGACGCUUCAAGUAUAAGCAACCCAGUCUUUCCCCGCAAGCUACCCGAAAAGCUUAUAGCACAAGAUUCAGGUGACUUCCUCAAUGUGACACGCGGAUCUUUGUUCAAUACACCCAUGCUUCUCCAGUAAGACAUCACAGCAAGCUUCUAGCAUAAGGUACCGAUUCUUACCCAGCAAGUCUUCAAGGAAGGAAAGCACUUGAGAUAAGGUACCCAAUCUUUUCAAGAAGCUAUCUCGAUCGAAACAUCGAGCACAAGCUACCCAGUCUUCCUAGACGUGAUACUCUGGAUGACUUACAACACAAGCUAAGUAAACCUUUGUUGGAAAGGCAUCACAUUCUCACUGGUACAAGUUAUUCCACUGACAGUUGGCAACAUAUGACCAUACAAGGAUCAGAUCCGCAACAGUUGGUCAGAAGGCAAAAUAGUCAGUCAAGGCACAAGCCUACUUCAGGAAUCAAUCAGUCUGCCACAUAGACCCAAUAUAUAUGGUGGACUUCUUACCAAAGUCAUAGGAGUUGAUCAUACAAGAUGUCAGCCCAGUAAGAAAUCCGACUAUGGCAUGGGCUACGUGAGAAGAAGAACACUAGCUAUACACUUCAGUGAGAUGACCAACAACUCAUGGAUAAGCUGUAUGGGACACAGAUGAACCCUUGCCUAUUUUUCUUUGAUGACGGCACCACGCCUGUGUUCUGAGCUGUUUUUGGCCGUCCGGGGUGGAGGUCGACUUUAUUUCUCUUGUCAACAACUGGCCUAUGUUCUGAGCUGCUUUUCGGCCAUCUCAGACAGUUAUUGAAUUUCAUUUCGUAGUAGAGACCCUAUUCUCUGAGCUAUUUCUCGGCCGUCUUAGGGAACUACUACUUUCUUCUUAUCGACACAGUCUCAUGCUCUCAGCUGCUUUUCAGCCGUCGUGAGUCGGGGUUGAGUUACUCCAGUAAUGUCCCAGAUCUGAGUUGUAAAGACCGUUCUGGUGGCUAGUGGUUUAUUUGCCGGUUUUAUCCAAGGGUUCACAAGGUCGUUACCCUACGGCUACAACUUGUUAAGUAAUAUGCCAGCCAGAAUAUGGUACCUGGCAGCACCCAUGUUCAUCCUGAGGAAUAAAGAAUACAUGAAACCAAGCUCUUCCAGCUAAGGAUCCAGGCAAAAGAGAAAGAGCAAGAUUGCCCAUACACGUAUGAUAAUGGUUGCAAGAUCAACAUAGUGCAUACACUCAAACCAGCCUGGUUCCAUACCAAUCACCGUGGGAACACACCCAUGAGGUCUAUUCCAUUUGCAAGGACCAUAUAUCAAGCCAAUCCACUCAGCCCAACAAGAUUUUCUCAGCAUCGUUAGAAGAAGAUACUCAAAUCCAUGAAGACUACUCAGCAGUCAGAUUGCAACAGUGGUGUCAAAAGAUUACACGACCCAUUAUCCAUUUAAAGGUGUCGACAGACGGAACGACCAGAAUGUGGGACAACAACCUCGAAGCAUGUGUCCUCACAUAUGGGAAUCAAUCAGAAGAUAGUUUGUCGUGAACAAGAUCUCUCUACUAGAACCUCCGACAGUCAAGUCAGCAUAUAUAAACAAAUGAAAGUUAGAGUAACAUAUGAGGAUCUCGUGGAACAAACCACCGUGAAGGCAGACAGUUCGUCAGCUAAGAUUUACCGGAAGUAUCAUUCUAAGGUAAGAAGGAAACCCGAGUUGGAAACGGUUUCCUCAAGUAAGGACAUGUAUGUUGUACCUUGAGCAAUCAAAUCUCGAGGACGAGAUUUCUUUAAGGGGGUAGGUUUGUAACACCCUGGAUUUUACCCAUUUCUAUUUCCCUCGAUUUUGGUCUGGUUUUGCUUUUCCGUGGCUUGAUAGUUUUGAAACCUAUAGAGAUUACCCUUGAUUUCUUUUUCUUAGUGGCUUGCCAACCUUCAAACCACCCCAAGACCUAGCCAUUUCCAUCUUGAGCCAAUCCCAAUAUUCUUUUCCCUGGGAAUAUUCCUUUUUCUUUUAAAAGGAAUAACCUCUGUUGCCUUAGGUUGUGAAGCAACCCCCAUUUAUAUCUCUUCAAAAAUUCCCAAAUAAUUGUCAUAAAUCUCUUGGGUCAUAUCUUCCUCAGAUAUGACAAAAUCUUUCCUUGUCAUGUUCAAAAAUAUUCCCCAAAAAUUCCUUUUCUGAUUCUGCCCUAUAUAUCAAGUUGUGAAGCAAGUACCCUUUUAUUUGCUUGAUUGCUCUCAAAAUUUGUGGGAACUCUUUCCUAGCCAUAUCAUUGCCUCAUGCCAAAAUUCAACUCAAUUUAGCUAGUAAAUAUUUCUUGGCAAAUUUCCAAAGUUUCUGAUCCAGAGGAAGCUUUGUGAAGCAAGUGCUAGCUAGGAGUGUUUAAAUGAAUUGAAACUUUGCCAUCAUCUCAAUAUGCUCAAAUUAUGACUCUCCACCAAAUUUGAGCAUCACGCCUUCAACCAUGUGACCAUAGCUUCAAAUCUUUGUCUUUGGUCAUUAUUUUGGAUUGUGAAGCAACUAUAUUUUAUGUUGCUCCAUAAAUUCUGAAAUUUUACAAGGACAUUCUCCUAUCUAUAAAACCAUUCUAAACCAAUUUUGAGCUCAUUUUAUUUAGCCAAUUAUUCCCAGUAAUUCUCGUAAGUUUCUGUCCAGUCGGAUACUGUGUGAAGGAAGUGCCACUUUGGAUUAUCAAGAUGGCAUGAAAUUUAUACAACAUCCUCACAUGCCUAAAUGAUUUAUCUCCAAGUUUCAGCUCCAUCCAAGCAAGUGUGUGAGUGCCACUUCAUACUUUGUAAUUCUGUCCAGAAAAGCCCUUUGAACUGCAAGUGCUAUUUUUAUUCUUCCAAAUGAGCUGAAAAUUUGCAGAGAUGAUCACCUUAGUAUGUAAUCACCCUCAGCAAAAAACCAAAUCCUUUUCCCUAGCUAGAUCUCCCCCACCCCACUCCAAACAGGCCGCUGUUGAAUCAUAUUUGAGCAUUUUUCUUCCUCCCAGAGCCCUCUAGUGGUUUCUUCCCUUGCAUCUUAUCCAUUUGAGCAGUGUGUGAUUUGUCUGACAUGGAGUGAGGAGCAAUGGCACACCACAGCACGUAGUGCACAUGGUGACCACGCUCAGAGCAAGCCAAAAUGGCACUUUGUGCAUUGACGGAGACAGGAGCACCCUCCAGGAAACUUUGGCUUGUCCACGAGCGUCGGGGAGCUCUCUACCACUCGCAUGCAUCCUCUAGAGCUUUCCCCUCGCCCCGUAGCUCCUGGUUGCCUCUGUCGAUCACCGGAGGGCCGCCAGGGUAACAUUCAUCUCGAAGCCUCGGCCGUCGUCAUGCAGCUCCUCCCCGUGCCUAUUUAAGGCGUGCCCCGAGCCCUCCUCCAACCUGCAGCCCUCAUCCCACUCCUCCCCGAGUCCCAGAGCCCCUCCCAAUCUGCCGUUGCCGCCAGGGCCACCUCGGCCCUCUGCCCGAAUUCGAGCAUUAGGGUAGCCCCUUCCCGUCCUAGCCUCCAUGAGAACCACCCCUCAUCCCCAAAAAGGUCUCCGCCGCCCUCCCUCUCCGACGGGAAGCCCCGCUAGCAUGCCCACAAGAUUUACUCCGGCCAGGGAACCCGAGCCAUGGCGGCGGCGUCGCACGCCGCCCUGGGCGCCCCUUUGGCCUCCUCCUGGCGGGACAUGGAGCGGCGGUGCUACCGCGCUCGCCGGCCCGUGCUCUGGUGCGGUCACGCGCCAGCAGCCAGCAGCGCCCGAAGCCUCCCCUGUCCCCUUUGCGAGGUUGAAGACGAUGCCAGGAGGAGAGAGAGAGACGUGGUGGGCCCCGCCGGUCAGCGGCCCAGGAGCUGACCAGGCAAUCAUUCACCCAAGUAAGUGGAGGCGCCUUUUUGGUAAAACACGCUUUCUUCUUAUGAAAGCGUAUUCUAUUAUUCUUCGGGCGAAAAUACGCUUUCACUUCUCUCAAAGCGUAUUCUCUCAAAAGUGCUUUCUGCCUAAUCCACUCAGGGACCCGUAUGUGAAUAUUUGUUUUGCAGAAUAAUCCCUGGCUCCAAAACCCUUAUAUCUUUUUGCUCGGGACAACGAUUCCGGUGAUUCCAAAGCCAACAUCUUCGUCUGGUCCAGCCCGACAAGAUGGUAUCAUUUCCACCAUGUGAUCACAUAGUGGAAAUGACCAUGUUGUUCUUGCCGUAAACAGCCCUUGUCCGAGAGAGAACUGUUUCCGACAAUUCCUUCCGUGAGCUUCUCGCCCUUCUUCCCGGUGUUUCCCUCAUCCCAGGCAAGCCAGAACUUUCAUUUGAUUAAUUGCAUUGCAAUAUCAUAGUCUAAUUAACUAUUUUAAUAAUAAAUAUAUAUGUUUACAGUCUGGAAUGUGAGUAUGCACUGUUGAAUAAAUUAUUACUGAGAUGAGUACGGGAUCGUUAGUGACUAGUGUCUUACACACUAGUCGAUAACAUAAGGUUGAGAUUAUUGUCUAUGAUUACUUUGUGUAUAUGGAUCAACAGUAGUGGUUUGAGAUUAUUAUUUACCAGAUUACUAUGACGUCAGAGUGUCAGCUAUAACAGACAUAUUAUUCGGGAUAAGAUACCUAGUUGGUUGAUCAGAGUCACUUGUCCGGGCUCAUUGGUGCAACCACAUUUGCCGAUAUGGGACGGCCUUGACUUGAGCUGAUCGCGUGAUCUUUCACCGGUACCUCCAAAGAGGGAGGGUUAUGCACGUGUGCUACCUUGGCCCGGUAGGCGGUGAUAACCCUGUGAGCCAAUUGAGUUGUUUGGGGUACCCGUCCCCAUUUGGGACAGUUUUGUUUGUCCACGAUGGUGGCAGGUGUCAUGAGGACACAGGGCCACGCAGGGCAAUACUCCGAGGGAGGAUGAUUUCUGGUGGUACGAUGAACGAGUCAUGGGUCAGGCAAGUUUUGUUGGAGCAACACUGGUCCACCCGAAUGGGAUCACGAGGUCAGUGCUCCAUAGUGUGGGUAAAGUGUGCAACCUCUGUAGAGUGUCAAACCUAUUCGAAUAGCUGAGUCCACGGUAUAGGACAACCCGACCAGACCUCAGUAGGUGGUCAAUCGUAAUUAUGAUAUUAAUGAUGGAAGAACUCGUCCGAGUAUGAUAACAGUUGGGCAUCGUGCUGAUGAUAAGUCUUGGUAUCCGUCUUAAGGAUACUCGCUAAAGGAUCUUGGUAAGAUCACAUGAGUUGGUAUCACCCGAGUACGGUGAGAGCAGCGUGGUAUAGUUAGUUAUGUGCUACUCCUUUAGUAAUAACAGAUCUUUUCUUAACCUUGAUUGCUAUGAUGUUGUCUUGCCUUAAUGCUAAUGUUUGUUGUGAGCUUGCGAGUAAAUUCAAAGUACUCACCUGGAUUGUCAUGCCAGAUUGCAGGUCAUGCCUUGAUUGCUUGCUUGUCGAGGAUUCGAAAUCGUGAGCUAGGAUGUGCGUUCCAGCCAGAGUCCCUACGGAGUGGAGUUCAUCACAUCGGUCGUUUGUCCGCUUCUAGCGUAGGAUUUACCGUAGGCAGGUGUAGUAUCGCCAAGGCGAUGUAAUCCAUGUAUCCUUGUAAUAUUUUCCAUAGUAAUAAAGAGUUGAUUUGUUCUGUGCCAACGGUCCAGAAGACUUGUCCUUGGGAUGUAAUACGGGGUGUUCUGGUUUCCUCUAAGCCAUUGUGCCACACUUGUCGAGGCCAUCGUGCCAAAAAUAAGGAUAGGACCGCAUCUUGGGCGUUACAUACCAUAUUGAACUUUUUCAAUAUUUCUAGAUAUAUGAACAAUGACAUACAUUUAUUCCCGAGGGAAUGUGCUCAAGCUAUAAACUUAGCACCAUUUGGUUUGACCCAAAUAUCCAUUUCAAAAAGAUUGUGGACAUUGAUAAUAAGAUCAUCCACAUCAAUAACGUGAUGUAAAUCCAAUUAAGGAUAUCUUCAUGAAUACACAUCAACUGUUAUUAGUGUUAGUGCAAUCCUUAUCAAGGAGUAACUCACACACAACUCUUCGACAUCUUCAGAGUCAUAGGAUGACUUCUAAAGCUUCACACAUGUUGUGACUUAUCAUUGGAUUCGGAAUAUUAAGCCAUUUCAUGACUUCAAUAUAUAUAUCCAAACUGAAUGAUGCAUGUGAGUAUGUAGCCAUUACAUACAUCAACCACAUGGAUUUGUAUUUCCAAUUCAGUAUCGAAACAUAAUUCCACUCAUACUGAGAAGGUAUGCUACAUCACAGCUGAUGUCGGGUCUCUACGGAAACCCAUGUGCUACAAGCCUCGCUUUCUCACCACCUCAUCUAUUUCGUUUCUAAACGAAAAAUCAAUUCUCUUCACUACGGAAGAUACUUAUGAGGAGAAGGUUUUACUAUGGUAAACACCUCUCUUUUAGUGAGCGAGUGCUACUCUUCUUAAUUGCUUCCUUUCAUUUGAACCAAUAUAAGUGUCAACAACACUUUCCAUGGAUUUUGGUUCACGGCCCAAAAGGAUUUAUGCAAUUCUCAAGAAAAAAAUUAUGUCGACAUAUGUAGACUUUCAAUAUACGAUUCUCUUGAAUUGAUAUCAUUUUUGGAAUUCUCGUUAUGUCUCUUAACUACUUCUGAUUCCCCACAACAACGGAGUCAAGAUGUUUCGAUGUCCCAGCGCCAUACAAAAAUGUGUGCAUAUCGGUGCUGGGCUAUGGAUGACGCGCAUCCAUCAGGUGUCAUUCAUCGCGAGGUUGAAUCACAUUUACUGACUGAGGAGACCAUUUCCUCUAUUUCCGCGGAAACAUAUGAGAACUUAAUCCCAUGUGACCAGGACUCUCCACCUAUUGCUCUCAUGUGGGGAUAUGAGUGGUUAUUAGGUACUUCCACUCGUUCUGGUAUGAAAUUCAGUGACACCUUUGUCAUCAGUAAUUUAUAUGGUAGAUUAUUUGCAAAAUGUUGCAAAUUCUCAUAAUCUUAAUCUCUAGUUCAGAUUCUGAAGUACGUGGACAAAAUGUCUAUGACAUUUCUUUUGCAUUUCCUGGCAUGCUAUGCGGUACAUUUCUCUCCCUAAUGCGAGAAAAUGUCCUUAUUGCAAAAGCAAGCAGCGUACGAGCUGCAAAUAACUCCCUCGCUAGGGCUAAGGUAUUUGAUGGAUUAAUAAUCAUACCAUAGUUAUUCCUCACAUAGAUCCCAAAUGUAUGUGAAGGCCAUAAUGUAUGUUGGGGUGGUGAUAUCGGUGUGCAUCGGAAUUAUCGCAGAUGGGAAAUACUUCAUUGAUUUCCGUGUACAGACUGUAAGGGGAUGCGGUUUUAAAUGCAUUUGAUCACAUUUAGACCAAAUAUGUGGUGUGUGAGACCGCAUCUUACCAACAACAAAUGUUGGAUCAUCACAAUUCUGUAGCAAUGGCCAUGCAACUUGACUCUUUUUGACAAGAUAUCUAGCCACACCAUUCUGGGUAGGUACACGACGUACUGAAUAUGACCAUGAAUUUCUCAUGAAUCAAAUUCAACGAUAUUUCCAUUCCGAUAGAAUUAUCCCAUGCAUAUGCUCCAAAUUCAUCAAUUUGAGCUCUUAAUUCAGCAAACACAUGAUUUUGUGUGGUUGAUACACACCUAAGUCUAUCUUCUAGAUGUGUCUAUGAAUACCAUGAAGUACCAAAAUAACCCAGCCAAUGGUUGAAUAUUUUGCAUCAUUAUUGAAUCCAUUCAAGAAUAAUGAGUGGCGCAUUCAAAUUUUAAGGUGAGGGUGCCUUAAAAUUAAUUCCUCUAUGGCACAUGUAGUGCACAUAAAAUCUUUCGAUUCUCAUGAAUAUUGCAAUUUUGUUGUGGCCAACAGAAUUAUCAAUAUUUUUUCUAAUCGUCCUCAUACCAGACAGGUAAAGGAGGAAAAAAUAUUGUGUACGCAACAAUAUUGUGUAUGAAUGAUUCAUACACUCAAUUACUCACAACUAUCAUGUCCCGUGGACAAGAUGUUGCAAAUUAUACCACUUGUAGUAGUACAAUUAUAGGCAAAUGAUAUCUUGGGAUAACUAGGAGAGUACAUAAGAUCUCCACAAUAUCUUGGGAAUGUCAUUCCACAAGCAUAUCAUCAAUGUAGAGGAGUGCAUUCUCCUUCUACUGCACCAGAAUAUUUUCCGGUUGUCCAUUUGAAGUAGAACUUCAUACUUUCUCAUUAAACUCAUUUGCCGUCUCCAAUGAGUCGGUGACAUGAUUCAACCAAAAACUUAAAAGUUUGGUAAUCAUUAAUACGAUAUUUCAUACAAUCACCACUUUGACAAACUUUGAAGUUUUCAUUGUGAUCAUUUAUUUAAAUGACCCAUUAUUUUGCGAGAUAUAUAAUCCAUUUCUGCUUGUCAUCUUUUUAUCACUUCACAUUCAACACCUCGUGAUUCUCUAGCCACAAAAUUGCUUAGUACUAUAAGCACUAGCACGAAUUUUAGGUAAUGGUAUAACACCCGUUCGGGUAUACCAGAUGAAUCUUCACAAGAAGUUCAUCAUAUUUUUACCUUGAAAUGAAGAUGGUACUUCUUUUACCAUCAUAGGAGAAUGUAAAGUGCAGUAAGGACAUACAAUCAGAUGAAGAUCUGAGACUUCCUUACCACAUAACCUCAACUUAGUGAUGAUUUAUAGACAACACAAUUAUAAGCAUCAAUGGAAUUUAAGUCCUUAAUACAAAUGAAUAAUCAUUCCUGUGAUUGUUAUGACAACAUAUCUCUCCUUAAGGUGGUACCAAAAGGGAAAAUGGAUAUUCAUCAUCCAUUAUAUACUCAGUUUGAGAACCAAGACAUUGCGAUGUCACAUAAAUGCAAAUUUGCACAUUUCAGGUAUUUAUAUAUAGCCAUGACAUUCUUUGUAGGUGGAGUUUCAGUGGCGAUAAGGCCACGGGUCGACAAAAUAUUAAUGUCCAUGACCCAUGUUCAAUCAUGCCAUCCACCUUGCGUCAUCACAUCGCAUUUCCUUUUUAAAAAGGUCACCCACAUAUUGCAUGAAAUGCUCAUGCAUUAAUUUACCUUUAGUAAAUUAAGUACAAUGAAAAUGCUAUGGCUAAGCAUAAUCAUGAUCAUGUUAAUUCUUAGUGACUCGUGAGCAAGCCUUCACAAGAAGAUAAUCAUUACAAUAUGAUGUAGUUCCUCAAAUUAAAGGUAUAGUCACCUCAUAAAGAAUAAAUCUUUAAUUCCCAUAAAACACAGAGGUAAUCAACCACCUAGUAGUGCCUCACUCUUAUGGAUAUUUUAAUCAAUCAUAGCCUCUUCACAACCUUAUGUUAUUUAAAACACAUGAAGGUAACUACCGUAAUGUGGCAAAAAUCUUUGAGAUGUGAGCGGAAUUUAAUUCAUAGCUACGAUUACAUCUCAUAAGUUGUGUACUCAUGGAAGGUAAUCACCAAAAUAUGCAAGUAUUUUGCAUAAUUAUCUUCAUAGCAUAGUAUGUAGCAUAGUCACCACUAAUGCCUUGGAUUCCUUUCCUGAUGGAGCAUGUGACACUAUAGUCACAACCAAUGACAAAUGCUAUGAAAUUGACAAGUAUUUGGGAAAACAUCAUCAAGGUAGGCACCAACAGUGUAGGCCUCAUAAUGAUUAUGUCAUAAGUUUUGUGCCUUCACUUUGCUUUGAAUACAUGGAGAUAAUCACUACUGAGUAGUGUAGACCUCACUCUUAUGGAGCUUCUCACAACCUUAUGUUAAUUAAAACACAUUGAAGGUAAUCACCACAUGGUGGUGUUGACCUCACAGUUGUGAACGAAAUUUAAUUUGUUGCCAUAGAUGCAACCCAUAAAUUGUGUUCAAAAUUGAAGGUAGUCAUUAUGUCGAAAUGACAUAAUAUAGACCUCACAACAACAUUGGAUAAUCUGCAAUUAAGCAGUAGGUACCAUUUGUCUGUUCCUUGUGACAAAUUUAAAUUUGACAUAACCAGGUUGUGUCAAACUCUUCACUACCUCAUGUGUUUCAAAUUUGCAAGCAAGUUCCAUAUUCUCCAUGUAUAAUGGAAUCAACAUAUUGCUUCGCAACAGUAUUACUCAUGUAAUACAAAUAAAUGCAGAAGUAUAAGCAUACUUGUGCAACAUAUAUGAGGAUUUGGGGCCUAAACGAUCAUUUUACAUGAUGUAAAAUGAUGCAUAAUGAAUUAUUAUGCAAUUCAGCAAGACCUUUUGGUCUAUCUUGUAUAUUUGCUCUGAAGCCCAAGGCAUAAAACGCAAACAACGAUAACCUUAUAGUUAUAGUGCUGAAAAAAGGAAGCCAUGGUGCUAAACUGUUAAGUCCAAUGAGCCAGAUGGCUUGAUUGCAAAUUUCUAUAGGUCCUGGAAUUAAUGCAUAGAUUCUGAUAAUCCUGAGGCUAUCAGAAAUUCCUUCUACCUAUAAAUAACACCAUAGAACACGAGGGUCGAUUUGCAAAAUCGAUGAAAAGAUUGGAUUUCCCCAUCUUUCUUGUCCCAUCGGUUCCAUCCCUUGAGGGGAUUUUUGUAACUACCGCUGAUAGAUGUUUGAGUCCAUGACGGAGGAAGUCGUCGAUCAUGUCGCCUGCUGGGCCUCGCCGCGACCCAUUGCUCGUACCAUGCAACACCUGCCCCCUGCUUGGCGGAGGCACCAGCAGCGCCGUGCAAAAGGUUGACGAUUGCUCCACCAGUUGAACGGGCCAUGGCGGUCGGUGGCUCAUGCGCCAAAGCGCGUCGCCAUGCCAGGGCCUCCGCGCCAAGAACUCGUCCAUGCAUCAUCGCGGUCGGGGGCAUCACCGCGGCCAUGUUGUUCUGUUGUGCAGUCACGUCCUGCAAGGGGCCAUGCACCUUCGGGAGGCCACGCACGCGUCUUCCAUCCAUAGGAUGCCAAGAGCGACCACCAGGCAUCACAUGUAUAGGCUCGAAUGGAUUUGAUUUACACGAGUGUAUACAUACAACAAACGAUCAGUUGUUAGAUAACUCACUGUUUAGGACGGAAGGCUGCAUCUAGUAUGAAAUUUGCACAUCAAUCUCCAUGCAGAUCCAUGCAUGCGGAUGCAUGCUCCUGCAGACUGUCUAGUUCCCCAAUGCCGGGAGCAGCGGCUUUGCGGUCGAAGGAGGGUGCGCUUCCUGCCGAGAUCAAUGUAGUCUCGUAUCGGGACUGAGUCAUGUACUAGCUGGAUGUCCUGCAUCGUGGGGACGACGUCCUGGGCUGAGCGCCGCUGCCAGGGGACAUCAGCUUGCCAUCCACCAGAGGUUGAUCCUUCUUUCAUGUGUGUGCUGAUCCAACGAAGAGAUUCAUGCAUGCUAUUCACGAAAAUACAAUCAUUAGAUUGUCGAUCUUAAUCACAAGAAGACAAAAGUUAGCGCUUUGUGAUCGAUUUCUCUUUAUGGAUGCAUGGCCGUCCUUGAUGAGGUCGUCCUAAUGGAGUCCAUUAGCAAUCAAUUUCCAAGGUCUGUUCUCCAUCGUUGAGGCCUCAUGGGAUGGAGCGGCAGCAAGACUGGCAAGAAGCCAUGGACGUGGUUGUGCGUAUGCGUCGUCGUCUUAGGCCGGACUGAUCCGCCGGUAAAGACUAUGUACUGAUAACGCAUUGAAUUGUGAAAGCAAAGAGAGGCAAAUGUAGAUUUCAGAUGAUUCACUAGUCCAUUGCAAUGUGGAAGACCCAUUUAUAUAUAAAAUAAAGGGAUGUGUUGGAAAGCCACCUUUUCCCCAACAAACACCUUCUAGGAGGCAUUCCUCCCAUACAAUUGAUCACAUGUUUUAUUUAUGAACGAACGUGUUUCUGAGCGACUAGAACAUCCUGUUUCAAUUAGAGAAGAUGACAGUUUGACAUAAGCUGAGUGAGACAUAACUAUAUCUCAGCCGGCUGUGUUCGAGGCGAACCCUUUUUUAAGCGUCAUCUUGUUGGAGAUGCUCUUUGGAUGUGGGGAGGGCAGGCUCAUUUCAUUUGGGCGACGACGGCUCCAGAGUUGGUGGCGAAGGCUAUCCCGAUGAAGAAAGAGAGGAGGUUGCACAUUUUGGAAAUAUUCCCUAGAGGUAAUAAUAAAUUAGUUAUUAUUAUAUUUCCUUGUUCAUAAUAAUCGUUUAUUAUCCAUGCUAGAAUUGUAUUGAUUGGAAACUCAAAUACAUGUGUGGAUACAUAGACAACACACUGUCCCUAGUGAGCCUCUAGUUGACUAGUUCGCUGAUCAAAGAUGGUCAAGGUUUCCUGGCCAUAGGCAAGUUUUGUCACUUGAUAAUAGGAUCACAUCAUUAGGAGAAUCAUGUGAUGGACAAGACCCAAACUAUGAACGUAGCAUAUUGAUCGUGUCGUUUUAUUGCUAUUGUUUUCUGCGUGUCAAGUAUUUGUUCCUAUGACCAUGAGAUCAUAUAACUCACUGGCACCGGAGGAAUACCUUGUGUGCAUCAAACGUCGCAACGUAAUUGGGUGACUAUAAAGGUGCUCUACAUGUAUCUCUGAAGGUGUCCGUUGAUUUAGUAUGGAUCAAUACUGGGAUUUGUCACUCCGUGUGACGGAGAGGUAUCUCGGGGCCCACUCGGUAAUACAACAUCACACACAAGCCUUGCAAGCAAUGUGACAAAGUGUAAGUCAUGGUAUCUUGUAUUACGGAACGAGUAAAGAGACUUGCCGGUAACGAGAUUGAAAUAGGUAUGCGGAUACCAACGAUCAAAUCUCGGGCAAGUAACAUACCAAAGGACAAAGGGAAUGACAUACGGGAUUAUAUGAAUCCUUGACACUGAGGUUCAACCGAUAAGAUCUUCGGAGAGUAUGUAGGAUCCAAUAUGGGCAUCCAGGUCCCGCUACUGGAUAUUGACAGAGGAGUGUCUCGGGUCAUGUCUGCAUAGUUCUCGAACCCGCAGGGUCUGCACACUUAAGGCUCGGUGAUGUUUCGGUAUAGUUGAGUUAUAGGUGUUGGUAACCGAAAGUUGUUCGGAGUCCCAGAUGAGAUCCAGGACGACACGAGGAGCUCUUGAAUGGUCCGGAGGUAAAGAUUGAUAUAUAGAAAGUCCUGUUUUGGUCACCGGAAAAGUUUCGGGCUCAUCGGUAGUGUACCGGGAGUGCCGGGAGGGGCGCCGGGGACCAUCGGGAGGUGUGUCACGCCCCAGGGGGUCUCAUGGGCUAUGGGAAGAGAUAAACCAGCCCCUAGUGGGCUAGAAUAAGUUCCCACUAAGGCCCAUAAGGUUUGAGAAGGAAAAAACACAAGGUGGAAAGAUUUUCCAAGUGGGAAGGUGGAAUCCUACUCCAAGUAGGAUUGGAGUAGGACUCCUCCACCUCCAGUUUCGGCCAAACCUUGAGGGUUUGAGGCUGCCUCCUCCCCUCCCUCCCUCCUAUAUAUACUAGAGGUAUUGAGGGUUUUUGAUACACAACUUUGCCAUGGCAGCCCGACCACAUACCUCCACAAUUUUUCCUCUAGAUCGUAUUUCUGCGGAGCUCGGGCGGGCCCUGCUGGGAUAGAUCAUCACCAACCUCCGGAGCGUCGUCACGCUGCCGGGGAACUCAUCUACCUCUCCGUCUCUCUUGCUGGAUCAAGAAGGCCGAGAUCAUCGUGGAGCUGUACGUGUGCUGAACGAGGAGGUCUCAUCCGUUCGGCACUAGAUCGGAACAGAUCGUGAGAUGGAUCGCAAGACGGUUCGUGCAACAGAUCGCGAGAUGGUUCGUGGGACGGAUCGCGGGACGGUUCGUGGGGUGGUUCGUGGGGCGGUUCGAGGGACGUGAAGACGUUCGACUACAUCAAUUAUGUUUCUUAACGCUUCCUGCUAUGCGAUCUACAAGGGUACGUAGAUCCAAAUCUCCUCUCGUAGAUGGACAUCACCAUGAUAGGUCUUCGUGUGCGUAGGAAAUUUUUUGUUUCCCAUGCGACGUUCCCCAACAGUGGCAUCAUGAGCUAGGUUCAUGCAUAGAUGUCAUCUCGAGUAGAACACAAAAUUUUUUGCUGGCGGUGAUGUGCGAUUUGCUGCCCUCCUUAGUCUUUUCUUGGUUCCGCGGUAUUGUUGGAUCGAAGCAUCUCGGACCGACAUUCCUCCUACGCCUACGAGAGACUGGUUUCAUCACUACAAGCAACCCCGUUGCUCAAAGAUGACUGGCGAGUGUCGGUUUCUCCAAUUUUAGUGGAAUCAGAUUUGACCGAGGAGGUCCUUGGAGAGAGGUUAAAUAGCAAUUCAUACAUCCUCGUUGUGGUGUUUGCGUAAGUAAGAUGCGAUCCUACUAGAUACCCAUGGCAACCACGUAAAACAUGCAACAACAAUUAGAGGACGUCUAAGUUGUUUUUGCAGGGUAUGCUUGUGAUGUGAUAUGGCCAACGACGUGAUGUGAUGUAUUGGAUGUAUGAGAUNNNNNNNNNNNNNNNNNNNNNNNNNNNNNNNNNNNNNNNNNNNNNNNNNNNNNNNNNNNNNNNNNNNNNNNNNNNNNNNNNNNNNNNNNNNNNNNNNNNNNNNNNNNNNNNNNNNNNNNNNNNNNNNNNNNNNNNNNNNNNNNNNNNNNNNNNNNNNNNNNNNNNNNNNNNNNNNNNNNNNNNNNNNNNNNNNNNNNNNNNNNNNNNNNNNNNNNNNNNNNNNNNNNNNNNNNNNNNNAGCCAUAGGGUUGUCUUUAAACUAACGUUUGUGCUUGCACAUGCAUUUACUAUAUUGCUAGGACGUAGCAUUAGUAGUAAUAGCAUGAGUAGCACGAAAACCCCGAUGGCGACACGUUGAUGGAGAUCAUGAUGAUGGAGAUCAUGGUGUGAUGCCGGUGACAAGAAGAUCGUGCCGGUUCUAUGGUGAUGGAGAUCAAGAAGCACAUGAUGAUGGCCAUAUCAUGUCACUUAUGAAUUGCAUGUGAUGUUAAUCAUUUAUGCACCUUAUCUUGCUUAGAAUGACGGUAGCAUUAUGAGGUGAUCUCUCACUAAAAUUUCAAGACGAAAUUGUGUUCUCCCCGACUGUGCACCGUUGCGACAGUUCGUCGUCUCGAGACACCACAUGAUGAUCGGUUGUGAUAGACUCAACGUUCACAUACAACGGGUGCAAAACAGUUGCACACGCGGAACACUCGGGUUAAACUUGACGAGCCUAGCAUGUGCAGACAUGGCCUCGGAACACUAGAGACCGAAAGGUCAAGCAUGAAUCGUAUAGUUGAUAUGAUUAGCAUAGAGAUGCUUACCACUGAAACUAUUCUCGACUCACGUGAUGAUCGGACUUGAGAUAGUGGAUUUGGAUCAUGUACCACUCAAAUGACUAGAGAGAUGUACUUUUUGAGUGGGAGUUCUUAAGUAAUAUGAUUAAUUGAACUAAUUGUCAUGAACAUAGUCUAAUGGUCUUUGCAAAUUACGAUGUAGCUUGCGCUAUAGCUCUCCUGUUUUUAUAUGUUCCUAGAGAAAAUUUAGUUGAAAGUUGAUAGUAGCAAACUUUGUGGACUGAGUCUGUAAAACUAAGGAUUGUCCUCGUUGCUGCGCAGAAGGCUUAUGUCCUUAAUGCACCACUCGGUGUGCUGCACCUCGAGCGUCGUCUGUGGAUGUUGUGAACAUCCGACAUACACGUUUCCGAUGACUACGCGAUAGUUCAGUGCAAAAUACUUAAUGGCUUAGAAGCAAGGCGCCGAAGACGUUUUGAAACGUCAUGGAACAUUAGAGAUGUUCUAAAGAGAUGAAAUUGUGAUUUCAUGCUUGUGCCCUUGUUAAGAGGUAUGAGACCUCCGACAAGAUUCUUUGUCCAUGAAGUAAUGGAGAAAAGCUCAAUCAUUGAGCGUGUGCUCAGAUUGUCUGAGUACGACAAUCGCUUGAAUCAAGUGGGAGUUAAUCUUCCAGAUGAGAUAGUGAUGGUUCUCCAAAGUAACUGCCACCAACCUGUGAGAGCUUCGUGAUGAACUAUAACAUAUCAAGGAUAGACACAAUGAUCCUUGAGCGAUUCAUGAUGUUUGACACUACGAAAGUAGAAAUCAAGAAGGAGCAUCAAUAGUUGAUGGUUAGUAAAACCAGUAAGUUUCGAGAAAGGCAAGGGCUAGAAGGGAUACUUCGUGAAACGACAAAACAGUUGUUGCACUAAUGAAGAUACCCAAGAUUAAACCCAAGCCCGAGACUAAGUGCUUCUGUUAUGAGGGGAACGGUCACUGAGGCGGAGCUACCCUAGAUGCUUGGUUGAUAAGAAGGCUGGCAAAGUCGAAAGAAGUAUAUUUGAUAUACAUGAUGUUGAUGUGUACUUUACUAGUACUCGUAGUAGCGCGAGGGUAUUGGAUACCGGUUCGGUUUCUAAGUAAUUAGUAACACGAAAUGAAAGCUACGGAAAUAAACGGAGACUAGCUAAAGGUGAGGUGACGAUAAGUGUUGGAAGUGUUUCCAAGGCUGAUGUGAUCAAACUUCGCACGCUCCCUCUAUCAUCGGGAUUGGUGGUAAAACCUAAAUAAUUGUUAUUUGGUGUUUGUGUUGAGCAUGAACAUGAUUGGAUCGUGUUUAUUGCAAUAUGAUUAUUCAUUUAAAGAGAAUAAUAGUUAUUCUAUUUGCUUGAAUAAUUACCCUCAAUGGUUUAUUGAGUCUCGAUAGUAGUGUUACACAUGUUCAUAAUAUUAGUGCCAAAAGAUACAAAGUAAUAAUGAUAGUACCACUUAGUUGUGGCACUGCCACUUGAGUCAUCUUGGUAGAAAAUGCAUGAAGAAGCUCCACGCUGAUGGAUCUUAGUACUCACUCAUUUUUGAAACGUUUGAGACAUGCAAACCAUACCUGUUGGUAUAAAACACAUGAAGAAACUCCAUGCAGAUCGAUCGUUUGGACUCACUUGAUUUUGAAUCACUUGAGACAUGCAGAUCAUACCACAUGAGCAAGGCCUUGUUUUCAUUGAGAUGAGACAAGAUAGUAACUUGUUGGAAGUAAUACAUUUUGAUGUAUGCAGUCCAAUGGGUGCUGAGGCACGCAGUGGAUAUCAUUAUGUUCUUACUUCAAUGACGAUUUGAGUAGAUACAGGAGUAUUUACUUAAUGAAUCACAAGUCUGAAAUAUUGAAAAGUUCAAUUCUGUUACAGAGUGAAGUUCGUCGUAACAAGAGGAUAAACUGUCUACGAUAUGAUCAUAGAGAUGAAUAUCUGAUUUGCAAGUUUUGGUACACAGUUAAGACAAUGUGGAAGUUGUUUCGCAAUUCAUGCCACCAAGAACACCAUGGUGUGAUGGUGUCAUAGCCGCGACCUAUUUGAUAUGGUGCAUGAUAUGAUGUCUCUUAUUGAAUUACCACUAUCAUUUAUGGGUUAUGCAUUAGAGAAAAACGCAUUCACUUUAAAUAGGGCACCGCGUAAUUUCGUUGAGAUGACACAGUAUAUACUGAGGUUUAGAGAAAUCUAAGUUGUCGUUUCUUGAAAGUUUGGGGCUGCGACACUUAUGUGAAAAAGUUUCAGUCUAAUAAGCUCGAACCCAAAGCGGAUAAAUGCAUCUUCAUAGGAUAUCCAAAACAGUUGGGUACAUCUCCUAUCUCAGAUCCGGAAGCAAAGUAUUUGUUUCUAGAAACGGGUCCUUUCUCGAGGAAAGGUUUCUCUCGAAAGAAUUGAGUAGGAGGGUGACAGAAAUUGAUGAGGUUAUUGAACCAUCACUUCAACUAGUGUGUAGUAGGGCGCAGGAAGUUGUUCCUGUGGCGCCUACACCAAUUGAAGUGGAAGCGGAUGAUGGUGAUCAUUGAGCAUCAGAUCAAGUUACUACAAACCUCGUAGGUCGACAAGGUAGCGUACUACUACGGAGUGGUACGGUAACCCUGUCUUGGAGGUCAUGUUGUUGAACAACAAUGAACCUACGAGUUAUGGAGAAGCAAUGGUGGGCCCGGAUUCCGACAAAUGGCUGGAGGCCAUGAAAUCCGAGAGAGUAUCCAUGUAUAAAACAAAGUGUAGACUUUGGAAGAACUGCUUGAUGGUAGUAAGACUAUUAAGUAAAGAUGGAUCUUUAAAAGGAAGACAGACGAUGAUGGUGAUAAGUCACUAUUAAGAAAAGCUCGACUUGUCGCAAAGAUGUUUUCGACAAGAUCAAAGAGUUGACUAUGAUGUGACUUUCUCACUCGUAGCGAUGCUAAAAGUCUUUUGGAACUAUGUUAGUAGUUGCUACAUUAUUUGUGAAAUAUUGCACAUAGGAAGUCAAAAUAUUGUUUCCUCGACGGUUUCCUUGAGGAAAGAUUGUAUGUGAUACAAUCAGAAUGUUUUGUCGAUCCUAAGGAUACUAACAAGUAUGCAAGCUCCAGCGAUCCUUCAAUGGACUGGUGCAAGCAUCUCGAAGUUCAAAUAUACACUUUGAUGAGAUGAUCAAAGAUUUUGGGUUUGUGCAAGGUUUAUGAGAAACUUGUAUUUCCAAAGAAGUGAGUGGGAGCACUAUAGAAUUUCUGAUAAGUAUAUGUGGUUGACAUAUUGUUGAUCGGAAGUAAUGUAGAAUUUCUGUAAAGCAUAAAGGUUGUUUGAAAGGGGGUUUUCAAAGGAAGACUCGGAUAGAGCUACUUGAACAUUAAGCAUCAAGAUCUAUGGAGAUAGAUAAAAUGCUAAACAGAGCUUCCAAAUGAAAUGCAUGCCUUGACAAGUUUUUGAAGGAGUUCAAAAUAGAUCAACAAAGAAGGAAUUCUUGGCUGUGUUGUAAGGUGUGAAUAUGAGUAAGACUAAAAAGCCCGACCACGGCAGAAGAAAGAGAAAGGACGAAGGUCGUCCCCUAUGCCUUGCCACAAGUGUGUUAAGAGGUAUAGAGAGUGAUCCAGGAUUGAAUCACUGAACAUCGGUCAAAGUUAUCAUUAGUAACUAAUAGACUAAGGAAUUUUUCUCGAUUAUGGAGGUGGUUGAAGAGUUCGUCAUAAAGGGUUACGUUGAUACAAGCUUUGACACUAAUCCGAAUAACUAUGAGUCGUAAAACAGAUUCGUAUAGUAGAGUAUAUAUUUGGAGUAUUUCCGAAUAGCACGUAGUAGCAACAUCUAUAAGAUGACAUAAAGAUUUGUAAAGCACACACGGAUCUGAAAGAUUCAGAACCGUUGACUAAAACCUCUCUCACGAGCAAGACGUGAUCAGACCCCAGAACUAUAUGGGUAUUGGAUUCGUUAAAAUCACAUGCUGAUGUGAACUAGAUUAUUGACUCUGGUGCAAGUGGGAGACUGUUGGAAAUAUGCCCUAGAGGCAAUAAUAAAUUAGUUAAUAUUAUACUUCCUUGUUCAUAAUAAUCGUUUAUUAUCCAUGCUAGAAUUGUAUUGAUUGGAAACUCAAACACAUGUGUGGAUACAUAGACAACACAUUGUCCCUAGUGAGCCUCUAGUUGACUAGUUCGUUGAUCAAAGAUGGUCAAGGUUUCCUGGCCAUAGGCAAGUGUUGUCACUUGAUAACGGGAUCACAUCAUUAGGAGAAUCAUGUGAUGGACAAGACCCAAACUAUGAACGUAGCAUAUUGAUCGUGUCGUUUUAUUGCUAUUGUUUUCUGCGUGUCAAGUAUUUGUUCCUAUGACCAUCAGAUCAUAUAACUCACCGGCACCGAAGGAAUACCUUGUGUGCAUCAAACGUCGCAACGUAACUGGGUGACUAUAGAGGUGCUCUACAAGUAUCUCCGAAGGUGCCCGUUGAGUUAGUAUGGAUCAAGACUUGUAUUUGUCACUCCGUGUGACGGAGAGGUAUCUCGGGGCCCACUCGGUAAUACAACAUCACACACAAGCCUUGCAAGCAAUGUGACUAAGUGUAAGUUACGGGAUCUUGUAUUACGGAACGAGUAAAGAGACUUGCCAGUAACGAGAUUGAAAUAGGUAUGCGGAUAACGAUGAUCAAAUAUCAGGCAAGUAACAUACCGAAGGACAAAGGGAAUGACAUACGGGAUUAUAUGAAUCCUUGACACUGAGGUUCAACCGAUAAGAUCUUCGGAGAAUAUGUAUGAUCCAAUAUGGGCAUCCAAGUACCGCUAUUGGAUAUUGACCGAGGAGUGUCUCGGGUUAUGUCUACAUAGUUCUCGAACCCGCAGGGUCUGCACACUUAAGGUUCGGUGACGUUUUGGUAUAGUUGAGUUAUAGGUGUCGGUAACCGAAAGUUGUUCGGAGUCCUAGAUGAGAUACAGGACGUCACGAGGAGCUCUGGAAUGGUCCGGAGGUAAAGAUUGAUAUAUAGGAAGUCUUGUUUUGGUCACCAGAAAAGUUUUGGGCUCAUCGGUAGUGUACCGGGAGUGCCGGGUGGGGUGACGAGGACCAUCGGGAGGGGUGUCACGCCCCAAGGGGUCUCACGGGCUAUGGGAAGAGAUAAACCAGCCCCUAGUGGGCUGUAAUGAGUUCCCACUAAGGCCCAUAAGGUUUGAGAAGGAAAAAACACAAGGUGGAAAGAGUUUCCAAGUGGGAAGGUGGAAUCCUACUCCAAGUAGGAUUGGAGUAGGACUCCUCCACCUCCAAUUUCGGCCAAACCUUGAGGGUUUGAGGCUGCCUCCUCCCCUCCCUCCCUCCUAUAUAUACUAGAGGUAUUGAGGGUUUUUGAGACACAACUUUGCCACGGCAGCCCGACCACAUACCUUCACGGUUUUGCCUCUAGAUCGUAUUUCUGCGAAGCUCGGGCGGAGCCCUGCUGAGAUAGAUCAUCAACAACCUCCGGAGCGUCGUCACGCUGCCGGAGAACUCAUCUACCUCUCCAUCUUUCUUGCUGGAUCAAGAAUGCCGAGAUCAUCGUGGAGCUGUACGUGUGCUGAACACGGAGGUGCUGUCCGUUCAGCACUAGAUCGGAACGGAUCAUGAGAUUGAUCGCAAAACGGUUCGUGCAACGGAUUGCAAGACAGUAUGUAGGAAGGAUCGCGGGACGGAUCGCGGGAUAGUUCGUGGGGCGGUUUGUGGGGCGGUUUGGGGGACGUGAAGACGUUCCACUACAUCAACCGCGUUUCUUAAUGCUUCCUGUUGUGCGGUCUACAAGGGUACGUAGAUCCAAAUCUCCUCUCGUAGAUGGACAUCACCAUGAUAGGUGUUCUAUGCGUAGGAAAAUUUUUGUUUCCCAUGCAACGUUCCCCAACAACAGGUGCACGGACGUAACAAGAGAUAGACGGAGGAGCCGGUGGUCUCCGAGGAAGAGCAAGCUCGGGAGCACGAUCUCCGGGCUCAGCUCUUGAUUUGUAAGGAGUCACACUCACGAGAGCGGCUUGGGGCCGCCCCUGAGCGUGGGUCGCGGUCGCCGCAGUGGUCGGUGUCGCGUAGGAGGGAGUCUACGCCGGUCCUUCCUCUCCCUCCACGCCCCCUCCCUCCAGUCAGCAGCGCCCCUUGAGCUGGGGUGGCGGGGGUGGGGCUCCGUCUGCAGGCGGGGACUGGAACCAAUUGAGGGUAGAUGGCGAUCGAUGGCCCCGUGAUGGCAAGGGAUCACCAUCCCGGCAGUCCCGUCGACCUGCGGGGGUCGAGCGUUCUGUCUCUGGUCAAAAUCUCUCUGAGGUGAUAUGCUUAAAGUGUGGGUGCAAAGGGCAAUACCAAAUCGGAUGCCACAAUGAGCCCAUGUGCUUUGUGUGCAAAGAGGAGGGGCACACCUCCCACAACUGCCCCUCACGUCAGUCAAAGCCAAAGCUUGUCAUGUAUGGGUACGACAUGAAGAACGAGGGCUUCUAUCUCCUGGAAAAGGAGGGGAUGAGGAGGAUUAGCUUCGUGCCAACACGGCUUGGGUGGUGUUCAUAGUGGGAGAUGCCAUGGAUGCCUCGGUCCAGGAUGAUCUGAGUGACAUGUGGGAGUCUGAAUGGGACUCGCAAGUGACAUUGGUGAGGAGAAACUCUUCUUCUCGGUGAUCUAUCCAUCCAAAGCCACAUUAUGAAUGAAGUAAAAAAGUGGAACAAUCACGCUCCUGAUCAGUGGACUCAAGGCAGAGGUCGUAGAUCCGUUCACUAAGGUACUGUCAAGACAAAAUUGAUAACUGAUCUUAUAUAAUACCUACUGUAUUAUUUUUUUCGCGAAUACGUGUUGGGCAUAGCAUUCCAUUGAUAAGAGGAAAGAAAGUACAGUGACAGACCUCCAAAAGUGUACACUGACAAGCGCUUAGGAGGUCGCUAUGAGCAGAGGAUGGGAUGCUCGGCCCACAGGGUACAAAGGUCAGGUUACAGGAAUGAUUGAACUAAGCCCUUGAACGCCGGCAGUGGCCCAUUUGCGAGCUUCCUCCUUGAUGUUGUGAGUUAGGUGGGAUGCGAACGGGGUCGUGCCAUCAAAGAUGCACGCAUUGCGGUGCCUCCAAAUGGUCCAAGCAGAAAGUACGAUGUGGGAGGAAAGUCCCUUGCGCUGGCCUGUGGGCGAGUCGUUGAUGGUCGCGAUCCACUAGUCGUAGAAGUCCUUGGAUCCAUUCGGUGGGGGGGGGGGAGUGAGACGGCACCACGAGAAUAAAUCAUACCAUGCGAUGCGAGAGACGACACAUUCGAUGAGUAAGUGUUGCAUGGUUUCUCAAUGUUCAAAAAAGUGGUGAGCGUAAGCGGAGCGGAAGGCCACAACUUUGAGCAAUGGCCUCUUAAGUGCAGCUUAACCAAGAUUAAGAUUUUUUUAAUGGACCAGAUUUUGGUUGUUUUUGGAUAAUAUGCAUAAGAAAAUAGGAAAUAUAGCACAUAGGUAACUAAGAAUCUGAAAUAGCAUAUAAGGUUGUGGUUCAGUAGUUCACACAGGAAGCAUAAAUGCAUAAUAGUGUCUUAGAAUGAGCAUAUAUAAUAUAAAUGGCAGCUACAGCCAAGCAGCAGCAGCAGCUAAGCAGUGGCAGCAGCAACAGCCAAACAGCAGCCCCAAACUUCAUGGAACAUCAUCCGCAUAAGUGCGCCCGGUCACCACUUCAUCUUCAUCAUCCUCAUACUCUAUAUCCUCCUCCUAUGAAUCUGUCUCCUCUACUUCUUCUUCUUUGACUCAAACUCUUCAUCAUGGAGAUCUCUAACUCCCGCACUUCGACGAAGCUCAAGUUGUUCACUGGUUCCCAUAACAUCUCCAAUCACACUCUAAUGUAUGCCAUCUGCUCCCUCAUUUCCAUCUGUAAACACCACGAAAGCAUGAUCAUAUCGUCCCUCAAACAAGAAGCCUUGUGCUUCGGAUGCAUCAGUACUUAGGAGAACAUCAAUGUUCUUCCUCUGCUUGAUCUUCUUCUUCUUAGAUAACAACCUUGAGUUGAAAUGGAUGUACACAAGCUGAUUGAGGCAAUCUGUUGUAAGUUGAUUUCUCCUCUUGGUAUGUAUUUUCAAGUGUCAAUGCUACUAGUCAGGAAUUAGUUAAUAGGAACUACACAUCGUUGAAACAAAUUUAGUUGGUUUUGGAGACUAACCGACUCAAAACAAUUCCAAUUUCUCUCACAGCCGGAAGAAUUUGAAGUCAAAGAAAGGAUCUUCAUAGCCAUGCCCUUCCGCCCUGGUGUCUCACCUCCAUACAUUCUCCACCAAGCCACUAAACAAUAAUAUAGGAACUUGAGUACUCGACAAAAUAUGCAACUAAUCAGGAUUAUAGUGAAAGUUUUGCCAAGUCCUAGCAAGCUUCUUUGCAAAGGAUCCAUCUCUGCUUUGGAACUUGCCUAUUUCGUAGUUCACAACUUGGUCUUGCAUGUUGCCAUCACCAUGAUAGAAUGUCUCCACACAAGACUAAAAGGUUGUAUUGAUGUUAACAGAAUCAAAUAUGUUGUCAUCUACAUAGCUAUAGUGUGGAUUCAGUAAAUAUGCAGUCAACUACAGUGGGGCAUCUAGCCUAUCUUUCCUCUUCUUUUCAACUAUAGCCAAGACAUCUUUGUAGCGCGCCUCGACAUUACCAAAUGAUCUUUCUUUGCCUUCUCAAUCUCUCCAUACACCCAACCCAUUGAGGGUCGUGCAUCACUAUCAACCAACCGUAGGACCUUUACCAACGACUCGAACACCUUGAUGCAGAGAUUCAUACCCUUCUAGAAUGGCUUGUUGAGGAUUAUGGUUGUAGCAUCCUUGCCUUUCUUUGAGUGCACGUUCUUGAUCUUGUCCCACUUAGAGGAUACCACCAUCUGUCUUAGUGAAUCAGCCUUGUCUGCAAGGCUUUGCAAAGUGAGGAAUUGGGAAGAAAAUAUGGUUACUCCCGGCCUUAUGAUUUCUCUCUUCUUGGUGAAGGAUAUCAUGCACUCUAAGGUGCGAUGGUGCCCAUACAAAAAUAUUGUGAAAGCCUUCGCUUGAUCAAUGCUCUUCUUGAACUUAGCUAAGUUUCCAAUCCCUUGUAGCAUCAAAUUGACAGUGUAAGUUGCACACGAGCUCCAAAAUAUCUUCGGCCUCUUCACUUUCAAGAGAUCCUUAGCUCCCGUGUUGUUCGAAGCAUUGCAGUCACAACCUGCACCACAUGUUUAGCACCUAAUUCUUCAAUUGUCUUGUUAACAAAUUGAAGAUCAUCUCACUUGUAUGCGGUGUGUCGAUGUUUCCUUUGACUUGAUGAAGCUAACACCUUCCAAGCAAUGUGUGACCAAAUUCAUAAUGCUUCUCCUCUUCAUGUUAGUCCAAGCAUCAGUCAUGAAAUAGCAACCAUGCUUGCCCUUCUCAACCUCUCGGUCCUUGAGUUAACUCUUGGUUCUUGCAUACUCAAACUUUAGCAAAGUCUCCCGGAGAUCAUAUUGACUACGUGGAUCUAGAUCUUGGCCAAAUUGACCAAUGGCCUUAACCAUCUGCCUAAACUCAUCAUUGUCAAUUGCAUUAAACGGUAUUGCUACAUUGCAUAUAAGAGAAACACAUCUUAGCAUAGGAGGGCAGCAAACAAUGUACAAUUUAACUGAAAAAACAGGGAAGCAAGCUCUUACCAUGGGUAAACACACAUCUUGCAAUGUACUCAUGUGCUCGAAGUGAUCUCUCCUCCCAUGCUUCCUUGUUAAUCUUCAUUUGCUUAAGUCUUGCUUCUCCCGAUAACUUGGGGUCAAUGGUACAUGUCCACUUAUCUAUAGGACCUAACACAUGAUGUUGUCAGUUACCAAUACAAGUGAGUUCAUCAUCAUCUUGAGCUUGACCUUGAGGAGUGAAUGAUGCAUCAAUAUCAAUAACAACGACAUCUCUCACAGCCUUCUCGUGCUCAGAAUUAUUUCGCUUCUUUGCUGCCUUUUGUUCAAAAGCUUUUAAGCAAGCUUCUUCAGCAUCUUGUGGGCACCGCAAGCACGUCCUCACUUCAUUUAGUUUGCCGCAAUGUGUUGCUUCAGCCUGUAAAUACCUCCCGUGAAAAUCUGACUGCAGAAAUUACACUUCACUCUCUGAAGGUUGUCAGGAUCAACCAGCUGGCCAUAGACCCAACCCAUAUCAUCGGUAUUCCACUUGAGAGUCAUUGCUCUCUCUUCUGCUGAAGUUGGUGCUGCACUAGCAUCAUAUCCUCCUCCUAACUCCAUUCUAGAACAGAAUUAAAGCACUAAAUUUUUGCUACCUUCUGUUGAAAUUAACAAAGGAGGCAAGGGCCAAUUAAUGGAAGAGGAACUGGACAACUGAACAGCUAUACAGCAACACAAAGGCAAAAUGGUGCUGGAGUAAUGCAUGCCUACCUAUGGAAGAGGAAGAACCAGAGGAGGAGAGGAGAGGAGGAGGAGCAGAGGAGGACGACGAGAUCCUCACCUGAACUUGUAGGGGUGGACGUCUAGGAGGAGGAGGAGGAGCUCAUAUCUAGUCUGGGGGUGAGGAGGAAGAAUCUGAGAAACCCUAGCCGUCAGUGGAGCUCUCCUCUCCGUCUCCCAUUUUAACUGAGUAAACCCUAGCUUAAAAGGCCAGUAUUGGGCUAGGCCAGUAUUGGGUCAGGCCAGUAAACACUUACCCCUUCACCCUGUGGCCCAUCCUCGUUUUCUGAACACUUAAGCGCGCUCAACGACCGCUUAGCUGGCACCCAGCGCUUAAGCGGCAGCUAAAUUCCGGUUUUUUCUAUUAUUGCUAAAAUCUAUGCUAAGGACACAAGCCACGCGUUUAGCCGCCGCUCAGCGCUUAAGCGCGAUUAAGCGCUGCUUAAAAACGCUUUCUUGAACAUUGUGGUUUCUUCCUCCUGGCCACAAAGAGCACACACAACCGUGUGCGGGAGGCCGUAGCGAGCCGGUCUCGCUGAUGUCCACCAACGGUCAAGGCCACCCAGCUAGAGGAAGAUCUUGACUCCAUUCGGCGCCUAGGCAUUCCGUGUGAGCCUCCAAGUAGUUGAAGUAGUGGAUCCUUGGAAGAGUGCGAGGUAGCAAGAUUUGGUCGUGCAUGUGCCGUUCUCAGUCCAUCUCCAACGGAUAGAGUCCUGUGUGGGCUGUAGAGAUAUGUCAUGUAAGCGUCACCACACGUCGACAUACUGGACAGUGGAUACGACCCUAAGGGACCCUUGGAUGUCCUUGAUCGAUGCUCGGUCGGGGAUGUCCUCCAAAACUAGUAUGUGGUUGCUUCUGUGCUCGGGGACGAGGGCGACCAGAGCUGGGGUGAUCUCAGAGAUGGAGGAGCCAUCCAGCCAUGGGUCGAUCCAGAAGCGACACUUGGUUCCAUCCCCAAGAGUCUAGGAGGUGGAAGCACGGAUGAUUUGUCUCGUCUCCAAGGUCUCGCUGGGUCCGUGGCCUGUAGCCAAAGCCAGCACACACGUAGGGCGAUGUCAGCCCGCUCAAGAUCACGAAUGACAAGCCCUCCAAGCUUGAUCAGCUCGCAUACACGUGCCCAGUUAACAGGGCAGCUGCCCGAUCUCGGGUCCUUCCUGCCAUGCCAUAGGAAGUCACGUAUGAGUCAGUUGGUGAGCUUUAGAGUGGUGGGGCAGAGCGCCAUGGCGAGCAUGAUGUGGAGAUGCAUUGCUGUGAGCACAUGGCAGACCAACACCAACCUCUCACCACAUGAGAGGAGGGAAGCGCGCCAAGAGGAGAGCUUCUUCACAAGGUUGUCCACCAGAGGCAUAAGGGCCGUGUGGUGGACUUUGUGGAUUGAUAGCGGGAGCCCGAGGUACUUGACAGGGAAGGAGGACACAUGGCAGGUGAGUAGUGCUCUCAUCGUGAUCGUGGCCUCAUCUGAGCAAUGAAUUGGAGUCACGGAGCAUUUGGAAUAGUUUGUAUGUAGGUCGGAAGCCACUCCAAAUGUGUGGAGGAUGGCUUGAACAGUGGUGAGCUCGCUCGCGUCUGAAUGGCAAAACAGAACCACGUCAUCCGCGAAGAGUGAAAUGCUCGAAGCAAAGCGUGUGGUGGUGAGCCGUCGAAGAACUCCAACCUUAAUCGCCUGUUGCAUGAGUAAGUUGAGCGCGUCGAUGACAAGGAGGAAUAUCAUGGGGGAGACGGGGUUGCCGUGGCGCAGCACUUGCGUGUGAAGAACCGGUGGUCCUGGCCUUCCAUUAAUUAGGACUCGCAUUUUGGCGGUGGAGAGAAGGAUCGAAAUCCACUCACACUAGCGGUGUCCGAAACCAAGAUGUUGCAUCGUCUCCAGCAGAAAGGCCCAGGAGAUGGAAUCGAAGGCUCUAGCAAUGUCAAUCAUUAGCAUAGCUCGGAGGAGGCACAACCGGUGCACACGAUGCACCAUCUGCUGCACCAGGAGGAAGUUGUCGUGAACCGAGCACCCAACGAUAAACACGCUCUAGUUUGGAGAAACUGACUCUCCGAGCCGGGUUGCAAGGUGGAGCGACAAGAUCUUGGCAAAAAGCUUGGUCAAAAGGUGGAUGAGGCUGAUCGACCGGUAGUCAAAGAGCGUGGACACACAUGUCUUCUUGGGGAGCAAGAAAAGCAAUGCCUCGUUGAGCUUCUGGAAUCCUCGGCCAUUGCAGUUGAACAGUUUGGCGAAGGCAUCACAAAAAUCAUCCUUGAUGAUUGUCCAGCAAGAGAGUAGAAACUCGGAGCUGAAUCCGUCCGGACGAGGCGAUUUGCCCAUAGGCAAUAUCUUGAUGGCAUUCUAGAUCUCAUCUUCAGUGAAGGGCCGCUCAAGAUUGGAGAGGUCGAAGCCUCGACGAUCAAUGUGGCCGAGGUUGAUGGUGAAAGGUCCCUCUUGGGAUGUACCAAGGAUGGAGAAGAAGUGAUCGAAUGCCACCCGGGCGAGGCCUCCUCGUCGUUGACGAUCUCAUCUCCCACACGCAGUUUGGCGAUGUAGUUAUUCUGUUGCCGAUGAGAGGCAUAGAUAUUUUGGAAGGCGGAGUUUGUCUCGCCUUGUCGCAGCCAAGCGAAUUUGGAGCGCUGGCGCUGGAUUGAUCUGUCGGGAGGCGAGGCCUAAGUAGGUUCCCUUGAGCUUGCGACGGAGCCAAGCUUCUUCCGGGGUGAGAGGUCUAAAGUCCUGGGCGGCAUCUAGACGCGCAAUCAGCUCCCGGGUGAUGAGCAGAUGGAGGGACAAGUUGCCGAUCUUCUUGGCGCUCCACCCUUGCAAGAAUUUAGCCGUGCCCUUCAUGUGUGCAUAGAUCCUCCGGAAGGGGCCUGGGUCGGGUUGCACAGAGGCCCAAGCCUCGGCCACCAUAGUUUGGAAGCCCUCCAACUUCGGUCAGAAGCUCUCGAAGUAGAAUCUCUUGGGAGCGCGAGAGUGGGGGUUGCAAUCCAUGAUCAAGGGGCAGUGGUCAAAUGCCGCGGAAGCAAGGCAGCGCAGGAGGCAUGAAGGAUGCGACAUCUCCCACGACGGGCUGCAGAGCACGCGAUCAUUGCACACAAGGGUUGGUGAGUCCUGCUCGUUCGACCAAGUGUACCGCCGACCGUUUAGAUAGAGAUCGUGAAGCUCCCAGCCCGCAGUAAAACAUCGGAAUCUAUGCAUGAUACGAUGGUUGAGGUGAUUAUUAUUCUUGUCCUCCACGCUCAGGAUCAUGUUGAAGUCACGCUCAGGAUCAUGUUGAAGUCGCCUUCAAUGAGCCAAGGGCCGGCCAGGGUGUUGCGCAGAUCAUGAAUCUCGUUGAGGAAUUCGAUCUUCUCGGUGUCCCCUUGCGGGCCAUACACAUUCGUAAGCCACCAAUGUUGACCCCCGAUAGGGAAGAGACCAGGAGCGUGACGUGGUGGUCGCCGAUGGAUGGGUUAGAGAGGGUUAUGCAGAAGCGUUGCCCAGCAAUUAGAAUGCAUCCGCGAGUGCCAUUCGCGGGGAGGAAGAAGAAAUCUUGGAAGUGGCCACCAAGGGUUUCCAACACAGGACCAACGAGACCAUCGAAAGCUUAGUUUCCUCGAGACAAACAAUACAAGGUGAAGAAGCGAAGAUCAUGCUUCGAACUGCCAUGCGUUUGGCACGACUAUUGAGACCUCAAACAUUACAAAACACGAUUUUUGUGCUACCCAUGAAGAAAGGGGGAUACCAUGGUGCAGGGGGGAUGUUGGCACAUCGCAACGGAGGUCAGAUCUCCACGAGUCUUGGCUCGACUCCAAGAGUUGUGUACGGUGCAGUACUCUCAAACAGCUGAUGAGAAACCGACCAUCCGUAGAAAUCUGCGAAUGCUUGGACCACGCCAAUGGCUAGUGGUUUCAAAAAAGCUUGGCAUAUCUCUCGAGCGUUGCAGCGGAAGUUGUAUCAUUGUCCGUGAGGAUCCCAAGCGUACGCAAGAGCACGUGCUUGGCCUUCGAUUCCGAGUCAAGGCCCAGUCCGGCCUUGGCAAUGCGGUCACUCCGGCGCAGAGUGAAGUCGACCGGUACCGCGCGCCUUCGCCGGGAAUCGAGGAGAUGGAAGUAGCGCCGCAGUUGGAGCCUGCAUGGUUUGCAAGAAUUCGAGCAGGCAAGGUGUGGCAGUUUGGCUCCCCACAACAGUUGUCGAGGAAGCUGACGUAGGAGACGUAGGAGUCUCUCCACAACAGGCGCCUACUGUAUUUUGUCAUUUCCGUAAUUUAUAUCGUUAAAUAUAAGCUAUGAAAACACUAAAACAAACAAAUUAUGAAAACAAAAUUGUGUCAGAAUUUCUCCUUCUAUUGACGCUUUAGUAAAACCAAAGAAAUUCUGAACUGGACGUAAAUGUUUUUUUUGCAGAGAAUCAAAAAAGCAAGUAUCCAUACUAUCCCAAAGGCUUUACUUGACAUCUUAUUGGAAUCAAAGACACAAAACAUGAUUACUACAGUAUCUCAAUCGUGCGAACACACAAAAACGGAAAACAUAAGUGUUUGGUUAUCUCACAACAAGCGUUUUUCUUUAAUGUCUUUUAGCUAGUCAUGAUGAUUUCAAUGAUGGUCACGUAAGAAUAGUAUUUGAAACAUGCAAGUUAGCAUCAUGAAUAUCAUGGCAAGCACAUUUAAGUCUAACCCACUUCCUAUGCAUAGGGAUUUUGUGAGAAAAUAAUUUAUGGGAGCACGAAUCAACUAGCAUAGGAAGGCAAAACAAGCAUGACUUCAAAACUUUGAAUGCAUAGGGAGGAAACUUGAUAUUAUAGCAAUACAUACAAGUAUAUGUUCCUCCCUCAUAAUAAUAUUCACUAGCACCAUGAAGGAAUUCGACGGUAUAACUAUCACAUAAAUCAUUCUUUUCAUGAUGCACAAGCAUAAAAAAAUUAUGACUCUCGACAUAAGCAAACGUCUCAUUCAUAAUAGUGGUAGUAAACGUAACAAAAUAAGUAUCAUGAGACACUUGAUUGAAGUAAUCCAAUUGAAAAAUAAACCACGAUGACAAGUUUCAUGUUUAUCAUUAUUCUUUAUAGCAUACAUGUCAUCACAAUAAUAAUCAUAUAUGGCAACUUUGUUGUCACAGUCAAUUGAAACCUCUUCGAAAAUAGUGGAUUCAUCACUAAAUAAAGGCAUGACCUCUCCAAAUCCACUUUUAUCAUUAUGAAAAGAUUUAACACCCUCCAAAAUAAUGGGAUCAUUAGUACCUAGAGUUGGCACUCUUCCAAACCCACUUUUAUCAAUAUAAUCAUCAUAAAUAGGAGGCAUGCUUUCAUCAGAAUAAAUAUGCUCAUCAAAACUGGGGGGACUAAAAAUAUCAUCUUCAUCAAACAUAGGACCUCCAAGCUUGUGGCUUUGCAUAUCGUUAGCUCAUGGAUAUUCAGAGAAUUCGUACUGACAAUAUUACUAUCAUACUCAUCAUUCAAGGAUUUCACACUAAGCAUUUUUUAUAAAUUGUUCCUCUAACAAUUGAGCACAACUUUCUGAACCAUCAUUUUCAUGAAAGACAUUAUAAAGACGACACAAGUGAGGCAACCUAAACUCCAUUUUUGUAGUUUUCUUUUAUAAACCAAACCAGUGAAAAACAAGAAACUAAAAUAUUUAUUUGCAAAAUCUAAAUAUAUACCUUCAAGCGCUUACCUCCCCGGCAACAGUGCCAAAAAAAGCUUGAUGUCUACUUCACAACUUUAUUCUUGUAGACUUUGUUGGGCCUCCAAGUGCAGAGUUUUGUAGGACAGCAGCAAAUUUCCCUCAAGUUGAUGACCUAAGGUUUAUCAAUCCAUGGGAGGUCUAGGAUGAAGAUGGUCUCUCUCAAACAACACUACAAUCAAAUACAAAAAUCUUUUGUGUUCCCAAAACACCCAAUACAAUUGUAAAUUAUAUAGGUCCACUAGUUCAAUGAAAAUAUGGUGAUACAAGUGUAGUAUGGAUAGUAGAUAUAGGUUUUUGUAAUAUAAAAAUAUGAAAACAGCAAGGUAACAAGUGGAAACUUGCGAGCAAAACAUUAUAUAAAUGUUUGGAAAUAAGGCCUACGGUUCUUAGUUUCACUAGUGCAAUCUCUCAACAAUGCUAACUUAGUAGAAUCACAUGGUCAUCCCUCCACAUGCAACAAAUAAUCACUCCAAAGUUCCUAAUAGAGGAGAACAUGAUAAGAAGUUGUUGUAGGCAACAAACCACCUUAAAUUUAUCCUUUUCGAUCAAUCUAAUGUGUUCUUUCUAUAGGUGAUACAAACAACCCUAGAGUUCGUAGUAAAAUAACACCUAUGAUAUAUAUCAAUCAACCCUAAUGUCACCUAGAUACUCCAAUGUGACCACAAGUAUCCAUGGGUUAAUUAUUUGACAUGCAUCAAACAAUUUCAGAUUCAUCAUAUUCAGUCCAACACAAAGAACUUCAAGGAGUACCCCAAGAUUUCUAUCAGAGAAAGUAAGAUGAAAACGUGCAAUGAACCCCUAUGCAUAGAUCCCCAAGGUCAUCGGAAUCCGCAAGUUGAUGCCAGAACAUAUAUCAAGUGAAUCAAUAUAAUACCACAUUGUCACCAUGGGUAUCCACAUGCAAGACAUACAUCAAGUCUUCUCACCAAUAUUCAAUCCAAUAUAAAGAGAUCUCAAAAAGAAAGAUUCAACUCAUCACAACAAGAUAGCAAUGGAAGAACACCAUAUGAUCCAACUAUAUUAACAAAGCCCGUGAUACAUCAAGAUCGUUCCAUCUCAAUAAUACGAGAGAUAGAUCAAACACAUAGCUACUUGUACAUACCCUUUGCCCCGAGAAGGAUUACUCACACAUUAUCAUGGUGAGAAAGAUAGAGUUGUUGAUAGAGAGGUGCAGCCCAGAGAGAUCGAGUCGGUGGCAGCCACAACGCUGGCGACGGGCGAUGGCCCCUUGGCCCCCCUUGUUCUUUGGUCUUGGUCCUACAAUGGAGGAGUCUCUCCCUCUUGGUGGCUAUCAAGGGAGAGACAAAUUCGUUGCUUUUGGUGGCUGCCCCGAAAUUAGGGUUUUCCUCUCCUUAUGUGUGCCUCCAUAGUGCUCUAUGGCCCUUCGAUGGAUGAAGCCUUAGUCUAAUGGCUCUUGGGCACCUCUAGAACCUUCCUAGGGAUUCCUCACAGCCCCAUGAAUCCCCAAAGUCAUGGCUUGGUCGAAUACAUUCAAUAUGGUAAGAGUUACACUCAAUCACGUUAUCAAUUCUCGAAAUCCCAUAAUCACAUUUUUCCUAGAGUAAAACGGUUCUAGGGAUGGCAUCCGAACUCUUUUUUGGAAAACUUUGUAGUCUAGAACUAAUGCCAUAAAAUUGCCCACACUUUUGUAGAUUUAGCUUUUUCCAUUUGACGCCAUCUUUGCGGGUCGAACUAACAAUCUCUAAAAUAUGUUGGUGGUCACAUUUCAUGAAAGUUAGAGUCCUCCUCCAACAAGGCUCCUUUUGCAUUUUCUUGUCAAUUCCCAAUUAAUUCCUACAAAUAAAAGUGUAAAACAAGAAUUUGUGAAGUUUUGCAACUAUUAAUAAGUUAGUCCCAAUAAAUCAUAAAAACAUAGGACAAAUGGUAGAAAACAAGCAUGGAGCAUAAAAAAUUAUACAUACGUGUGGGACGUAUCAACGAUCAUGCCACGAAGGCACGACACCCCCCCUCGGUGCUCCUCGUUGCCUCCUUGGACUUACCAUCUCUAGAGGGAUUUCAACAAGAUUUCCGAUGAACUUGUUUUCUUGAAACAAAACAAGUCUUUAGCGCCAUCUUCGGCCAUUGUGGCGCUUCUCCUUGGCAGAGCUCCUCCCCGUUGUCAACGGCCACAAGCAUGGCAUCUACACAACACAUCAAGUCCUAAAAGGGAAAAAACAUCACCUAUAUUUUUCAUGUACAAAAAAAACAUAGUUGUCGGCUACCAAUGUCGAUUCCAAUGAUUUUUUGCUUUUCAGACCACACCAUAAUCCCACUUGGGAAAGAAAGUUGAGGACAACCCAUUCGGAAGAAGAUGUGCCAAAACCAUGGCCCAUGGAGGACGAUUUUCAACAAAUUUCUUGAACCAUUCUUCGCAUGCUUACGUCUCAUUCGAUGAAACUUUGUCAAAUUACUUUUGCAGAUCAUCCAUCCUAGGCCCUAGCUAGCUCAUGUACAUGAUCCAGUAGCGAAACUGUAGGAUCUGAAGUAUGUCUAGAGGGGGGUUAUUAGACUACUUGAUCAAAUAAAAACUUAGUACUUUCCCAAUUUUAAUAGUUGGCAAGUUUUAGCGAUUAUACCAAGUCAAGAACAUCCUAUACAUGCAAGUCUAGGAGUAUAGCAGCGGAAAAUAAAUGAAAGCACAUGUAAGUAGAGGGUAGGGAUAGGGAGAUAAAACACAAAGAUGACACUGUGAUUUUUGGCGUGGUUCCGAUAGGUGGUGCUAUCGUACGUCCACGUUGAUGAAGACCUCAACCCACGGAGGGUAACGACUAUGAGAAUCCAAGGAGGGCUCCACCCACGAAGGCUCAACGGAGGGCUCCACCCACGAAGUGUGCGAUUGAAGCCCGGUGUUGGGCCAGUUCAACUGUCCAGGGCUGGCACCCUGGGCCACCCAGCUCUGUAUGGUACAACCACCCGGGGCAGCGGUACAAACGGCAAGCCUGGAACAAAAGAGGGGCAUCUCUCUCCUUGAUGCAAUGGAACGAUUUGGGUGCAAAGAAUGCGAGAGAGAAUUGAUUCACCCAAGAACUUCCCAUGUGGAUUCCCUCUUAAUAGUAUGGGAUCCCUACGACCAAAGAGAAUAAACACAUAGAGAACACCGUCUUCGAUCUUUUUCGUUUGAAGGGAAUACCUAACCGUCUUGUGUCUCACACAUGAUACCUGAAUAACUUGACAUCCGGUUAGAUAACAUAGUGAGUUAUCAUCAUCACCAAAACACUUAACGUAAGAGAAUGCCUUUAUAAUGUGUUCUGGUGUCGCGGUGCUGCUAAGUGAGUCCCACCACGUGGCACAUUACAACAAUAGUUGCAUCACGUCUUUCGCCCACGAGCUACUGCUAACAGUUUCGCAGCAACGUCGUUUCCAUGUCGUCGUGCUGCUACUUUACAUAGUCAAAUGGAUACAGUGGAGAUACCGUACCAGCAGCGCCUUUUUUCAACGAUUUGCCACCCCACGAUACUGUUAAGUAGCAGUAGCGUGUAGCUCUAAGCCGCGCUACUAUUAAGCCUCCACCUAUAAGAUUUUCCCUAGUAGUGAACAUCUUGGCUCGGGCAAAAAAGGAAGGAGGUCGUGGCCUCACCCAUGGGUCUCUCCCGCAACCUUGUGUGCAAGAUCGAGGUAAAUGGGGAGCUCACUUGUAAUGCAUGAAUGGGAAGCAGGUUGUUUUUUUUUGCACUGUUUGGGGCAGGAGGUAGUAUGGAACAGAGGGACACAUGAUGCGAUGGUAAGGAUGAGAAUUGAAGGUGCAUGGGGCCCAUCCGUGAAAUGCAUGACGUUGUGGAUGACAAGCACGUGAUGUUGCUCCGCGAGGCGACUGAUGCCAUUUCUGGUGGGUCAUCUAGCUAGAAUCGGUUACCUUCUCACAUUCUGAAUCCAAUCAUGAAAUAAAACACACAAGUUCAAUAUAUUAGUUUUUCUAAGAAAAGUUUGCUUCUCCUUGAUGAACAUGUUGUCAAACAGAGGAAAAGAUGAUUCAACGAAUUUCCGGAUAACUUUGAUCAAGAUUUCGAGUCAACUAUUAGAACGACGAGUACUCCGUUAUUGUAAUGAUAAAUCAGUGUGCUUGAUCCAGUUUCUCACAAAACAGAGUCGAACGAAGAAUAAUUUGACCCGCAAAGGAACGAUCCCUCGAAUUCUCGUCAGAUAUGCAACAAAAACAUUACAAAAUAAUCAAUCAAUCAAUCAUUCUUGGGGCUACAAAACACACAUGGAAUAUAUGCAACAAAAACGGUCUUGAGGCUACAAAAUACAGAUGGAAUCAAGAUAUUGCGAAUAUAAGAAGAAAGCUUUAUUGAUGAAGGUGGGGUUCUGUGAUGCCUUUGUCUGGUCGUAAAACACAAACAAAGAACGCAAAGUUGCAGCUAUGGCGAACUUGUAAUCUAAACAAAACGAAAGUCUAAACGAUGCCUUAAUGGUUGUAUAUAUGAGGGAAUAGAGAGGCAAUUUCGUGACCCUUGGAUGAGGGGUCCGAAAACAGCCCUAAACUCGGUUUCCCCACACAUACGGACUCUAAAAAUAGCCUAUAUUAUGGUAUUUCGAAAUUACAUGGGCCUGGCUAAAAAAAUAAGGUGGCGCAACACCUAUAAUAGCCUAUGACGAAAUUUAUAAAGUGGUGUCUUUAAUAUUUCAUCCAAAUCCUUCAUGCUCUCCUUAUGGUGGCUUUAGAGUGCGAAAAUAACAAGUAGAAGUUCCAUCGUUCUCUCCUGCGCGUGCACCUUCUUCUCCAUGCUUGAUCCCGCUCCAACGGAUAUCCUUCUUGUCCAUGCUAGGUCCUUCAUUCAUGAGCACAACAAAAGUAUCUAACUUAGGCAACAUCAUAUGUUCUUGAAUAUUAGAAGUAUUCCCAAGAAAUGAAAGUACGUGGUAAUUAAAUUGGCGUGCACGAGCUCUACUAACUGAUCCAGUAUGUAUACUAGUUGGGGUUGUAGAUGUAACAAUGGCGUUGAUGUCCUCAUCAAAUACCUAACCGUCUUGUAUCUCACACAUGAUACCUGAACAACUUGACACCCGGUUAGUUAACAUAGUGAGUUGUCAUCAUCACCAAAACACUUAAGGUAAGAGAAUGCCCUUACAACAUGUUCUGGUGUCGCGGUGCUGCUAAGUGAGUCCCACCACGUGGCAUAGUACAACAAUAGUUGCAUCACGUAUUUCGCCAUGCGCUACUGCUAAUAGUUUUGCAGCAACGCCGUUUCCAUGUCGUCGAGCUGCUACUCUACAUAGUCGAAUGGAUACAGUGGAGAUACCGUACCAGCAGCACCGUUUUUUCAACGAUUUGCCGCACCGCACUACUCUUAAGUAGUAGUAGCGCGUUGCUCUAAGCCGCGCUACUAUUAAACCUCCACCUAUAAGAUUUUUCCUAGUAGUGAACAGUUUGGCUUUGGCAAAAAAGGGAGGAGGUCUCGGCCUCACCCAUGGGUCUCUCUCGCAACCUUGUGUGCAAGAUCGAGGUAAAUGGGGAGCUCACUGGUAACGCAUGAAUGGGGAGCAGGUUUUUUUUUUGCAUUGUUUGGGGAAGGAGGUAGUACGGAAGAGAGGGACACAUGAAGAGAUGGUAAGGAUGAGAAUUGACGGUGCAUGGGGCCCACCCGUGAAAUGCACGACGUUAUGGAUGACAAACACGUGAUGUUGCUCCGCGAGGCGACUGAUGCCAUUUCUAGUCGGUCAUCUAGCUAGAAUCGGUUACCUUCUCACAUUCUGAAUCCAAUCAUGAAAUAAGACAUACAAGAUGAGAGCGGCGUUUCGGCUCGCGGGUGCAUCUGCAUCCGCGUCGACGAAAAAAAUCAAAACAAAUUCAAAAAAUUCCAAUUUUUUUGUGUGGUAGAUAUUUGGAUGCAUGAGGUUCGCUCCAAAUUUUUAGUUGUUUGGACAUCUGAGCAUCUCUCGACAAAAAAUACAAAUUAGGGUCGGUGAAAAAGUGUACUGUUCAUGAAAUUAUUUUAAUUCAAUUUGUCUUUUUUGCCGAGAGUUGCUGAGAUGUCCAAACAACUAAAAUUUUGGAGCGAAUCUCACGCAUCAAAAAUAUCUAUCACAUAAAAAAAAUUGGAAUUUUUUGAAUUUUUUAGUAUUUGUUUUGAUUUUUUUCGUGAGAGGGAGCAUAUGAGCAUGGACUCAGAAACGAAUUUUCCCACACAAGAUCCAAUAUAUUACUUUUUCUAAGAAAAGUUUGCUUCUCCUUGAUGAUCAUAUUGUCAAACAGAGAAAAAGAUGAUUCGGCGAAUUUCGGGAUAACUUUGAUCAAGAUUUGAGUCAACUAUUAGAACGACGAGUCGUAAAGAUUGCAAUCUUAUUGUAACAAUAAAUCAGUGUGCUUAAUCCAAUUUCUCAUAAAACAGAGUCAAACGAAAAAUAAUUUGACCAGCAAAGGAACGGUCCCUCGAAUUCUCGUCACAUAUGCAACAAAAACAGUACAAAAUAAUCAAUCGAUCAAUCAAUCUUGGGGAAACAGAUGGAACAUAUGCAACAAAAACAGUACAAAAUCAAUCAAUCAAUCAAUUUUGGGGCUACAAAACACAGAUGGAAUCUGCAUGCUUCAUGGAGAUUCGAUCAAUUAGAUACAAUUACGUACUAUUUCUAAGAUUUCUCCGAUCAUGGGGGUGUCUUAUCAAUUCGAUCACCGCACCAGAAACCCAAGAAAGGUCGCAGANGUCGCUGGACGAUGCGUUGAGGAGGUGAACGCGAUCUGCUUCUUGGCCCUGCUUCGCCUUUCCGGCCUUCAUGGUGGCGUUGUUGCUAUCGCUCUCCCCCUAGGAACUUGGUAAGUGGAUUGUUAGGAGGGGCUGGCAUUAUAUAGUGGUUUGGAGAGGAACUUCUUCCGAUUGCGGAGCUGUGUUGGGAGCCUGGGAGACGAACUGAAACAGACUCGGUUUGGGGAUUAUACAAGAUUACCUCCGUGUUAAAUGAGAAGUCCCUUUCAUUCAAACGCUUAUUGGAUCCGCAUCCCAAAGCCCCACGGUGGAGAGAUAUGUGUGGAGAAGGGUUGGAUUCUGGUGCCUUUCGGGACGAAGUCAAC